GUCCUUGCCUUCCACCGAAACCCCUAAGUCAGAACUGUCUUAAAUGCUUAUCCUAAUGGAAGGAGCCUGGCCCCGUCUAGCUAAGAGGUGAGAAGAAGGGCUGGCUGUGGAAAGACAAAUUUGAUGAAUGUCUGCUGCUGAAUAAUGCAUGUGCUCUGUUUGUGAAGCUAAUUAACUGAAUUCACUUAAUGGAAAAAACGGUGCUAAGAAUUCUUUUUCUUUCAGAAAGGGCUGAGGAACUGAAUAGAAAAAUGCUCCCUCAACAGCAUACCCCUGCUCUAAGUGUCACCGGGAAGUCACAUCAAAUGCUCUGAAGGUGCCGGAUAUAUUUUUCCAAUUGCUUUUUAGCUUUGUAAUUACAAGGAUCUAAAAACCUUGAUUUGCCUUUUCAAUAACUUACGGCGAAACCCCGUUGCCAGCACAGGCAAGGCAAUUUCCAGCGUGCCUGCAGGACGGAUUGGACUGUGAAGGAGCAGAAGGCUAGGAAAGCGAUAUUUCUUUUUCUCUCUCCUCCAGUGUUCUAGUUUGUCACUCAUUUUCAUUUCCUAUUUUUAACUGCUAGCUAGUGAGCAUCCAAUUCGGCAUGCAGGGAUUGUUUUCCGAUUUCAAAGCCCUGCAAGGCCACAUUCAAAUAGGAACGGGGACUUAUUUCAGUUAAACUCUGGAGAGCAUGGAAAUGAGAUUUUUGUUUCCCUCACUGCAUGUGUAUUAUUCGUCAUUCUCUGCUAUUUCGGUGAAUUUUAAGGACAAGGCAAUGUGUUGGUACUGUCUUUCACCAUUACUCAAAUGCCAUUCAGGGCCUUUAAUUUGUUCUUUUCUGAUUCACUUUGUGCAGGAUUUGUUUUUGCGCUGUUAUUUUUUGCUUGGUUAUUUCCUUUUUCCUUUUUUUUUUUUUUCAAUUUAAUCUACCCUAAGUUUUUUUUUUCUUAAAUAAUCACCCAAUGUUUGUAUUCAUCUUAAAAUCAUUCACACCCGUCAAUAACUGCUUAGUCUACUGACAGUUGACUUUAAUAGCACGUAUACUGAACUUUCAGUCUUAAAAUCCACAUCACUGAUAGUAAAUAAGGGAGCCUACGAUAUCUGCAGGGAGAGAAAAGCCACUGGGCCUGUCUCCAGAUUUUCUCACCUGGAGUUGUCCCGCUUGACUACCUUAAGGCUCUCUGGAGGGCAAUUCAAAAGCUUGGGAGACUUUUCUUAUGAGCCCCAGUGGGGCUUUGAGCUCAACCCAACCCAGCUUAAACCACAAGCUGCCUCUGUCUCUUGGAUCUGUGAGUUUCCUCUGCUCUUAUACCGAGGGGCUAUGAGCAAUCAGCCAGCUAUGCCAUCCCCAGACUUGGGUGGAUCCUAGAACAAAAGGAGUUUCCCUGGGUCUAUGCCCUCUGCAUGCCAUUGGCCCAAACUUCCCCAACAUGUGGCUACUGUACGUUUUCAUUCUGUGAAGAAGACGAUAGGGAACAAAGAUUAUGUCAACAUCACUUGAGAGGGUACAAAAGCCAGAUCAAAGAUGGGGAUGCUCUCCAGAGCAGCAUUCCUUCAAGGGGUAAAAAUGGUCACAACUGAUUGUGUCAUCUGAGAAGAGAGUUGGCAUGACUGUUCUUACCAGGAUCCACUCAAAGGUGCCCUCACGGGUAUCUACCUGAUAUGAUAUCAAAGGCCUGGGGAGAUUUCCACAUGCAGAAAAACUGAAAAAGAGAGAAAGGCAAGAGAGAGGACAAGAGAGAGAGAGAGUGAAAACAACCCCACCCAGCCACCCUGAUUACUGUAAGAUCUCUACGAUUUCACUAAUGAGACUAUAUUCCUUCCAACUCUCAGCCUCCUUGGAGAGGCGGGCCUGGGGCCUCUUUUGAACAUCAUUAGUCACUGAUUUUCUCAGUUGAAAUCAGUGAUGGGAGAUUACUAGGCCUCGGGGCCAGGACUGGAGUGAGGCAAGCCAGGUGUCCAGGGACAAAUAUUUCAGGAGGCUCUCACUCUCAGGUGCUGACAGAGGAAGAUAGAAUAAAGACGACUGAAACAAGAGUAUCCAAACUGCACUUUUAAGAAAAUGGGUUGGGGGCUCCUGAGUGGCUCAGUAGAUUAGGCAUCUGACUUUGGCUCAGGUCAUGAUCUCACAGUUCGUGAGUUCGAGCCCCACGUCAAGCUCUGUGCUGACAGCUCAGAGCCUGGAGCCUGCUUCAGAUUCUGUGUGCGUGUGUCUCUCUCUACCCCUCCCCUACUCACACUCUGCCUCUUUUGCUCUCUCUCAAAAAUAAACAAACAUUAAAAAAAAAUUUUAAAGACAGUUGGGACACCAGGCAGGAAAGGAAAGAUGAGAAAAAUAAAGUGACUUAUCCUAAGCAUAUGCAGCAAAGGAAAGGAAACACAGAUCUUCUGACUUCUGCCUGGACUGCUUUACCUGCUUGUUUUUGAAUGCUUUGGAAUCCAAGAUUUUUGUUUUAUGCUGGUUGUUGCAAGAACGUUUUAUUAUCUCUGCAUUUUUUUGUGUGCUUUUUGACUUAAUUGAAACAGCUAAGCUUUGGGGUAGGAGAGACUGGAUUCCAGUUUUACCGCUUACAAAUUUAUGCAGCUUUGGAGAAAUUAUUUACCGUUCGUGAGUCCCAGUUGCUCAUCUGUAAAGUGGGGCUGUUUGAGAACUGAUGAGAUCGUUCAGAUGGGUUUAAGCAGGCAUUCAUUCAGCAAAGUGUAUUGAAUGUCUGUCUAAGCCAAGUCCUGUGCCAAGAGCUGCAGUUAAAAUACUGAGCAAAAGCAACAUAUCCCCGGUUUUCAGUCGCGUGAAGGAAACAGAGAAACGAGAUCUUCUGAGUAGAUCAAACAUUGAUGAGCACCUGCAGAUGGUUUUAGGUGGAGUAGAUACCAAUAUCCGUGGAUUCACUUCUGCUUCAUAAAGGGGCGCAAGGAUUAGUUGGCAUAAAGAAUUAUUUCUUCUUUAUUCACAGGUUUCAUUUUUUCCCCCAGUGGAUUAAUUUAGCUUUAAACCUCACCAGGCAGACAUCAGAGCUUAUUGAAUGGAUAAUGCACUUUUCAUAAAUUCCCUGACAUAAAGGAGUACAAUGAGUCAUGCUUUCAAAAGUGUCUGAAGAUAGAUUUACACCACAUGAUAGUCAUAACGGUUCAUUUGGAGCAGUUAUGUAGUCUGUUGGGUAAAUAAUGAAAGUUGUAUAAAUCACAUCAAUGCUGUGUUUACACAAUAGACCGUAACUACUCCAGAGGAGCUCAAACAAUCUGAUACAAGAACAUUUUAUAAAUGAUGUAAAUACAGUUCACGUUUAAGUUAAUCAAGUGAAGCAGCCCCAAAGGAGGACAGGGUUGUCGGGAAGGCCUGCAGGAGACAAGAGGAAUGAAAUAUGUAUCUUUGGUGAAAGUUUAUAUCAGUUAAGCCUCCUGGCUUUCAAAUAACGGGAGCCAACUUAAGCUCCCUUAAUAAGAAACAAAAAGGGGUGGGGUGGGGAGAAGGGCAGGACAAUUUCUUAAAAAUAUACAGGGGUGCUUCGCAGAACCUGAAAGUCAGCAUACAUCUAGGUUUUAAGGAGAAACUGCAAUGAGGAGAGAGAAUGCUGCAAAACCCCAGAAAGUGUGUCCUGUCUGUUGUUUUCUUGAAACUUCAUUCUACUCUCUGCAAAUCUGCAUUCUCUACGUUCUUGUCCUUGUGUCUUCCAUAGCUUCCCUGUUUACUGUUCUGUUCUGUUACUGUUUCUAUCCCUGGUUACUGUUGCAGCUGCAUGUAGAAAUAGAUUCCCUGCCUCUCUAGGUCGGAGUUUCAAUUUCCCAGAGAGGGAGUUUCAGUGGCUCAGUUUGAGUCACACACACACACGCACACGCGCGCACACACACACACACACACGUCCGCCCUGCUCCCAGUAAGUUCUGCGAGAAGGCUGGGGACAGAAAGUAUAAUCAUGGCCAACCGUGGCACAUGCCUGUGUGUAACGAGAGAGUUCUCAGAGAGGAGAAUGACUUCUGAGCAGGAGAGACAGUAGAUAAUCAUCUACUCGAAGUGCUACAGUCUUGCUAGAGCCCAGGGGCAGAGACAUACACUGUGACGAGACCCGAGAGAUAUUGAGCCUCUGUAGAGCCAGCCCAUUCCUUGCUACAACCAGGAGAGAGAAGAGCCAAGAAAAUUACUGGCAUGUUGCCUAUUUUAUGACUCAACUUACCUUAUAAUUCUUCUUCUAGGGAAGUGCUUUUUAUAACGAAGUACUCAUGUCUUGGCAGUAUGCACUGCAAAACAAACAAACAAAACCAAAAAUUCGAAACACCAGAAGGACAGGUUUUUUGGUGUUUCCCUUCAUGCCCUGUACCCAUAAAAGGAACUCAAUAAAUAUUUGCAAAUUUCCAUACUUUAUAUAGAAUCCAGAGUAGAAACCUCUUAAGAGAGUAGGCACUUGAUGAGUAUCGUGGGAUUAUUAUGGGAUGACCAUUACAUUUUUAAGUGCAUUAUUUAUAAAAUUCAUUAGCCUAUCUCAAAGUGCUUCAGUACCUGUGUGACUUUGGCUCGCCCCUGUGUUGCCAGGAAAACAUGACUGCAGACGAUUUUCAUCAUCAUAGUGUUAGGAUAGUUCUUUGAAUAUACAACACAUGUGCUCACCACCUCCUCCAACCUCAGUGGUCACCCUCUUAGGAAGCCCAGAACCUCUGCUUUCCUCUCCUUGUCUCUUUUCUUCAUUCCCCUUUCUGGAUGGCUCUCAGAACCAAAGAAAAAAAUUCAUCAGCUCACUAGUUGAGCUUAUGACACUUUAUUUACCUUAUCAAACAGUCCAGUGUAUAUGUAAAUGGACCAGCGUCCUUUGUGGGGUGUCUGGGAGAACCUGCUUCCUUUUCUUCCAACACAGACAUAAUCAGUGUCAGAAACGCCCAUCAAAUUUGUCGUGAUACUUUGCCGAAAGUUUGUUGGUUGUUUUUCUCCCUUUGUAAGAAACAAACACAAGAAAGUGUAAGAAGGAAAGCAAACAACAACAAAACACACAUAAUUCCACCAAUCAAGAGACGAUCAAGGUCAACAUUUGAGUUUAUUUCUUUUUGGUUAUAUUUAUUAAUAAGCUUAGCUGAGCCCACAUGGUGUCAGCAGAAUUAUACAGGACUUUUGUCCAAGUAUUAAACACCUUCAUAAAUAUUUUAAGGGAUACAACAUAUUUCUUAUGCAGGUUCUAUCAUUUUCCUAACUGCAUCCUCAUUUUUCAUAUUUAUGUUUUUUGCAAUGAUUUUGAUGUAUAUUACCAAAUUAUCUUUUACAAAGAUGGUAUAAAUUAAUAUUCCCACCAGAAAAACCCCUUCACAUGUACUGACUACUGACGAGAAAUUUAAAAUGUAAAAUGUCCUGCCCUUAUUUUAAUGUACAGUUCUCUAUGUUACAUUUCAUGUAUUUAUUAACCAUCUUAUUGCUUCUUAUAUUAUUUAUGCCUGUAUCUCUCUAUAUAAUUGAUAUUUUUUUAAUUUGUUUUUUUAUUUUUUUGUAAUUUAUAUCCAAAUUAGUUAGCAUAUAGUGCAACAAUGAUUUCAGGAGUAGAUUCCUUAGUGCCCCUUACCCAUUUAGCCCAUCCCUCUCCACAACCCCUUCCGUAACCCUCAGUUUGUUCUCCAUAUUUAUUAGUCUGUUAUGUUUUGUCCCCCUCCCUGUUUUUAUAUUAUUUUUGUCUCCCUUCCCUUAUGUUCAUCUGUUUUGUCUCUUAAAGUCCCCAUACGAGUGAAAUCAUAUGUCUUUGUCUCCCUCUGACUAAUUUCACUUAGCAUAAAACCCUCCAGUUCCAUCCACGUAGUAGCAAAUGGCAAGAUUUCAUUCUUUUAGAUUGCUGAGUAAUACUCCAUUGUAUAUAUAUACCACAUCUUCUUUAUCCAUUAAUCCAUCAGUGGACAUUUGGGCUCUUUCCAUACUUUGGCUAUUGUUGAUAGUGCUGCUAGAAACAUUGGGGUGCAUGUGUCCCUUCAAAACAGCACAUCUGUACUCCGGGGAUAAAUGCCUAGUAGUGCAAUUGCUGGGUCGUAGGGUAGUUCUAUUUUUAAUUUUUUGAGGAACCUCCAUACUGUUUUCCAGAGUGGCUGCACCAGCUUGCAUUCCCACCAACAGUGCAAAAGAGAUCCUCUUUCUCCUCAUCCUCACCAACAUCUGUUGUUGCCUGAGUUGUUAAUGUUAGCCAUUCUGACAGGUGUGAGGUGGUAUCUCAUUGUGGUUUUGGUUUGUAUUUCCCUGAUGAUGAGAGAUGGUGAGCAUUUUUUCAUGUGUCGGUUGGCCAUCUGGAUGUCUUCUUUGGAGAAGUGUCUAUUCAUGUCUUUUGCCCAUUUCUUCACUGGAUUCUUUGUGUUUUGGGUGUUGAGUUUCAUGAGUUCUUUGUAGAUUUUGGAUACUAACCCUUUAUCUGAUAUGUCAUUUGUAAAUAUCUUCUCCCAUUCUGUCGGUUGCCUUUUAGCUUUGCUGAUUGUUUCCUUCGCUGUGCAGAAGGUUUUUAUUUUGAUGAGGUCCCAGUAGUUUCAUUUUUACUUUUGUUUCCCUUGCCUCUGGAGACGUGUUGAAUAAGAAGUUGCUGUGGCCAUGAUCAAAGAGGUUUUUGCCUGCUUUCUCCUCAAGGAUUUUGAUGGCUUCCUGUCUUACAUUGAGGUCUUUCAUCCAUUUUGAGUUUAUUUUUGUGUGUGGUGUAACAAAGUGGUCCAGGUUCAUUCUUCUGCGUGUCACUGUCCAGUUUUCCCAGCACCACUUGCUGAAAAGACUGUCUUUAUUCCAUUGGUUAUUCUUUCCUGCUUUGUCAACGAUUAGUUGGCCAUUCAUUUGUGGGUCCAUUUCUGGGUUCUCUAAUCUGUUCCAUUGAUCUGAGUGUCUGUUCUUGUGCCAGUACCAUACUGUCUUGAUGAUUACAGCUUUGUAGUACAGUUUAAAGUCUGGGAUUGUGAUGCCUCCUGCUUUCGUUUAGAGUGAGUACUGAAAGAUAUGAAUUUACUGCCAUUAUGAUGCUUGUCGAGUUGGAGUUUCUGGUGGUGUUCUCUGGUCCUUUCUAAUCUUUGUUGCUUUUGGUAUUUAUUUAUUUAUUUAUUGAUUGAUUGAUUCAUCUUGUCUCCGCUCAGAGAGUCCCCCUUAAAAUUUCUUGCAGGCCUGGUUUAGUGGUCACAAACUCCUUUAAUUUUUGUUUUUCUGGGAAACUUUGAAUCUCCCCUUCUCUUUUGAAUGACAGCCUUGCUGGAUAAAGAAUUCUUGGCUGCAUAUUUUUCUGAUUCAGCACAUUGAAUGUAUCCUGCCACUCCUUUUUGGCCUGCCAAGUUUCUGUGGAUAGGUCUGCUGCAAACCUGACCUGCCUUCCCUUGUAGGUUAGGGACUUUUUUCCCUUGCUGCUUUCAUGAUUCUCUCCUUGCCUGAGUAUUUUGUGAAUUUGACUAUGUUAUGCCUUGUUGAUGGUCGUUUUUUGUUGAAUCUAAUGGGAGUCCUCUGUGCUUCCUGGAUCUUGAUGUCUGUGUCUUUCCCCAGGUUAGGAAAGUUUUCUGCUAUGAUUUGCUCAUGUAACCCUUCUCCCCCUAUUUGUCUCUCUUCCUCUUCUGGGCCCCCUGUGAUUCUGAUGUUCCUUUUUAAUGAGUCACUGAUUUCUCUAAUUCUUAACUUGUGCUCUUUGGCCUUAAUCUCCCUCUUUUUUUCCUGCUUCAUUAUUCUCUAUAAGUUUGUCCUCCAUAUCCCUGAUUCUCUGUUCUGUCUCAUCCAUCCUUGCUGCCACGGCAUCCAUUCGUGUUUGCAGCUCAGUUAUAGCAUUUGUUUAUUUCAUUCUGACUAGUUUUUACUCCUUUUAUCUCUGCAGCAAGGGAUUCUAAUCUAUUUCGACUCCAGCUAGUAUUCUUAUUAUCGUGAUUCUAAAUUCUGGUGCAGACAUCUUGCUUGUAUCUGUGUUGGUUAAAUCCCUGGCUGUCAUUUCUUUGUGCUCUUUCUUUUGGGGUGAAUUCCUUCUUUUUGUCAUUUUGAAGGGAGAAAAGGAAUUAAUUAGGUAGAAAAAUGAAAAUUAAAAAAAUAUUAAAGUUAAAAAAUUAAACAUACACACACAAAGUCACAUAAAUGAUGCUAGAUCCUAGGUUUGUUUUGGUCUAGGUGGUGAAAGUGGUUUGACUGAUUAGAGAAAAAAAUGGGGGAAAAAAAAGGAAAUCAUUUGAGAUUUUGAAAAAAAUGAAUACACUGAAGUAGACUAAAUGGAGAUGAUGGGAGUAAAACAGAAUUUGAAGAAAUUUACACAAAAGUAAAGAAUAUAGUAGAAAAAAAUAAAGGAAAAUAUUUUCAGGAAAAAUUAAAAAGAAAAAUGAAUUUUUUCUCUUUCUGUAUUCAAGAAAAAGAAAAGAAACAAAAAAGAGAAAAAAGAGAAAAAAAGGAAAUCGUUUGAAAAUUUGAAAAAGUGAAUACACUGAAGUAGACCAAAAUAAAAUGAUGGAAGUAAAAUAGAAUUUGAAACAAUUUACACAAAAGUAAAACAUAUAGUAAGAAAAUGAAGGAAAAAUAUUUUUAAUAAAAAUUGAAAAUAAAAAUAAUUUUUUUCUCUGUAUUGGAGAAAAAGAAAUGUAGUGUAAAAGAGAAAAAAAGAAAGAAAAUUGAAUAGAUGGACCUGCUAACAGAUUGAAAUAGGACUGAAAUUGCUUCAUUUUCCCCUAGAAGUCAGACUAUGAAGCGCUUUAUAGCCCAUGAACUAAGCAGGCGGUGAGACGUGUCUUCUUGAAGAGCGAGGUUGGCGCAGUUGGGCGGGGCUCAGUAUAACGGCUCCAUGCUCCACUAGAUGGCGCUGCUGGCCUACUGGGGCGGAGCAUUGCGGUGCUCAUAGGUGCGUCUGCGCAUCCGCGGGAGUGGUUAAGAUGGCACCACCCAGACACCCAGUCUGUUCUCCCGGAUCAGCAGCACACCCGUUCCCUGUCAUCAGCUUUCAUCCACUCCCUGCUCUUUCACUCUCCGUGACCAGGCCCCAGGCAGCACCUCUCUCCCGAGUUUUGUCUCAGAUGCGGCUGUUUUCCCCGGCCCCUUACUUCUGAAGGACCUUGGCUUCGGCCCGUUCCACCCCUCUGUGGGAGGGUCUCACCGAGCAGUGGCCGAAUGAGCAAGGGCCGAAUGUCGGCCGCAGCCAGGAACGCUUGCUGGACCCUGCUGCUGCCGGUGCCCCGAGACUGUGGCCAGGUGCCGCCCGCCCCAGAAAAAGUUCACGAGACAGUGUAGCAGCAGGGAUUAUGGAAAAUCACAACACACAUCCAGCACCAGGCUUCACCCUUAAGGACCUUGUUCCAGCACCAGCGAAUGUGGCAGCCUUCCGGGGUCUGCCGGGACCAGGUGGCUUCAACAGUCUCUACCAAAUGUCCUUCCAGCAGUGGAGCCGCUUUUCCCUGUGUGGCCUGAGAACCUCCCGGACCCCACUCUGCUCCUGGGGAUUCGCCCUUCCCACCAGAGCAUCGCCAGGUAUGGAGCCACGGAGUUGCAGCCUUUGCGCUCCCCUUGUUUACAGUCUUAAUAGAAUUAAACCCUCUCCUUUCUCCUUUCUCCCAUUUUAGUUUAGUUCCUGCGGCUGUUUCCAAUUUUCCACUUUCUCUCCAGCUGCUUUUGGGGAGGGGUGCUUUUCCCGUAUUCUCCCUCCUUCCCCUGUCUCCAUCCUCUCUCCACCCGCAAAAGCACCUCCCUUCCUGCGGCGUCUCGCUCCCCAAGUUCACCUCUCCAUGCUGCCUACCUGCUGAAUUCUGUGGUUCAGGUUGUGCAGAUUGUUGUGUUAUACCGCAGAUCAGUUUUCUAGGUGUGCGGGAUGGUUUAGUGUUGGUCUGGCUGUAUUUCAUGGACGUGAGACACACAAAAAACUUCCAUGCUGUUCCGCCCUCUUGGCUCCUCUCUUCGACCAAGUCAUUUUACAUUGGAAACCCUCCUCCAACCUCUGGAAAUUCCAAUCUUUCUUUUCUUCUUUUUACCCUUUGCUCACUGGUGUCUGAUACGUAGUAGGUCCUUAUGAAGUAUUUGUGCAUCUGAAUGAAUGGAUGUAGAUAUAUUCCCUGCUGAAGCCCAAUCUGCGCCCAUAAAAACACUUCAGGGCAAUUUGUAGAGGCACCUAUAGCCCAUGCCUGUAACAAAAUAGCUGCAUAAUCACCAUGGAAGCUACUAUAAUUAGAGAGGCUUGAGUUUAUGAAACAUUGAAGCUUAAGACCUAAUUUUCCUGCCCUGAUUGAUCCAAUAACUUCUUGUCUCCAUGGGUUCCACGGAUUAUUUCAGUCUCUGAAUAUCAGUGCUUACAGCUAUCUAUCCAGAUUCCCAGUUGAUUCAUUCAUUGGAAGUUUAAUGAAAUAAUAAAUAACAUUUCUCUCUUGCCUUUCUGAGUUCAAAAAUAAGGAAUAGGUAAAUGAAUUAAUGAGAUGUACAUCAAAAUAUCAACUCAAUUUACAGCAGAGGAGAAAGCAGCUCAAGGCUAUCACUAUAAUCAGGUUCCUGAUGUAUCCCCCAUUCCUUUGUAUUUGUUUAUUAAUAAAGUUCACCACAACUCUGUAGGUCAAUUUUAAGACUUCAAAGUACUGAGUCCUGAGGAAAGAGGACUUUAUGUCUUGGUGUGUGGGGAGGGAGAGUGGUUGGAAGUAAAGAUAAAUUUUAUCUAUUGCUAGCUUUCACUAUAGGGACAAUUGUUUUUUUUUAUUUUUAAUUUUUUUAUGUUUAUUUAUUUUUGAGACAGAGAGAGACAGAGCAUGCACGGGGGAGGGUCAGAGAGAGGGAGAGACAGAAUCUGAAACAGGCUCCAGGCUCUGAGCUGUCAGCACAGAGCCCAACGCGGGGCUCAAACUCACGGAUUGCGAGAUCAUGACUUGAGCUGAAGUCGACGCUCAACCGACUGAGCCACCCAGGCGCCCCACUAUAGGGACAAUUGUAAAGAAUGGGUCUUUCAGAAUUAGUUUCCAUAGUGUCUUUGGUGACAUGAGCCAGCAUAUUCCAUCAAAUAAGAGAAUCUUGUCAACUACCUAUGGUCUUGAUUUCUUUAUUUUUCUACUUUUAUAUGGCUUCCAAAAGGGAGAAGAGGAAAGGAAAGAUACCACUCCUGUCAGUUCCACUAGCUAAUUAUUUUCUCCUUCUCCUCAUCCAUCAUUCUCUCCUUUUUCUCUUCCACCUUUUUUAUUCUCCUUCCUGACUGCAGUAUUUUCCUUUUUUGACCUACGGAAAAGAGAUCUGAAACUUUUGAUUACUUGAAUUUCCCUUCCCUCCCCUUCCCUGCCCUUCCCUCCCCUCCCCUUCCUGCCUCUCCUGUCUUUUGCUCUCCUCCAUGCACUCUCUGCUUGGAUUUUGGGUAGUUGUAAUUUAUUCCACACUUCAUGAGUUCAGAUGCUUUAAAGUUUGUUGCAAAAAGUAGUGUUUUCUUAUUUCCCAUCAUCUUUUCCUAGGAUGAUAAGUUCUAAAAUUCUUUUUUUUUAAUGUUUAUUAAUUUACUUUGAGAGGGAGAGAGAGUGCACAAGUGGGGGAGGGGCAGAAAGAAAGGGAGAGAGAGACAGAGACAGAGACAGAGACAGAGAGAGAGACAGAGAGAGAGAGAGAGAGAGAGAGAAUCCCAAGCAGGCUCCACAUUCUCAGUACCUGAUGCAGGGCUUGAUCCCAUGAACCUCGAGAUCAUGACCUGAGCCAAAAUCAAAAUCAAGAGUUGAUUUUGAACCACCCAGGUGCCCCUAAGUUCUAAAAUUCUUGAGCCAGUGAAUCCCUGACAUAUAAACAAAGACUAGGGAAAGCACCCUGUGACUGAGGCAUUUUAAUAGCUAUGGUAAUCCCAGCACCAAAUGUUUUCUAUCGCCUUCUCUGCAGCUGACUGUUGCUUCAGAUACGAUUGGUUCAUGAAAUCAUUUAAGAUUCAGUUCCAAAGCACAGGCAUGGUUGAUAUUUCUAGACAUGUCCCUGAUAUAAAAACAUUCAGCGUUUUUCAUUUAAACAUUUAUGAAAGAUCCCAAACAUGUUAGCAUUUUUAUGGUCUCAGCAGUGAUAUUUAUAAUGUUACCAAUUUUCACAGAUUGAGGAAAUGUUUAUCAUAAAAUGUAAAGCACACUAUAGAAUAUCUAUAUGGCUAAGCAUCUGAUAGCAAGAGACAUAACCCCCUCACCCUGCAUUUAAAUCCCCACUCCCUUUAUAGGCUUACAUUAUGCAUUGACCCACUCCUUUCUCACUGACCUCUUUAAAGCUAUGGACAAACUCAAAUACCUACAGACAUCAGAGAGGUAAUAUAAAUGAGAGAGAUGUUUGAAUACAAGAAAACCAGCAGAACAAAUUUGAAGAUAAACAGUAAGUCCCUGCAGUCUCAGAGAUACACUAAAGAGUGGGAGAGAUUGUGGUGUAUUAGAAACCACAUACCCUGUCUAAAGGGAACAGGAUACUCUCUGCAUUGUUACCUGGUAAGAAUAUAGCCAUGCAUUGCCAGAUCUUCCAAAUUUUUUGGAGAAGCUGGAAUUUGGAUAUUGAUGUAGAAUAUUCUAUUAGCCCAAGUGCUAGCAACUUACUCAGAUAACUUAAAAGCACUGUGUGGAACGAAGAUCAUCUGAAGAGUAGAACUGGCUCAAAAAAGCUACAGCUUUGUUGUGGAACAAUUGAAACCCACCGUCUCUGACGAUUCUAUUGCUUUGCCAUGGACUCCAAAGUCAUUAAUUGACUAAUGAAGGAGAAGCAAAAAUAAGAAGGAAAUAAGAUUUAAUUGGAAUCUAUUAUGGUCCAGGCAGAGUGCAAUUACUUCAAUACCAUUUAGAAAAUGUUGGUUGAGUAUAUACUUCGUGCCAGACAUGAGGCAAAAUUCUUGGGAUAUAUCAGUGAACAAAAUAGACAAAAUCUCUAACCUCAUUGAGUUCAUUCUAUCUACAGCUCCUACUGAAUGUCAACUUCAAUCCUGAAGAGAAGAAGUGUUAUUAGCAUCAAGUUUUAGAUCGGCCAAAAACUGAUGGAAAACACAUUUGAACCCAGUUGAGCAAGACUUCAAAUCCUUAUUUGUUCCCACUGUGCCAAAUCCCAUGCUAGUGCCCAAGACAAUGGAGAUGGGGAGAUGGCCUUCGAGAUAAAGUGAUUUCUAUGUGUAUUGAGGGAGUGGGGUCUCACUGAGUUACAAAUGACAGUUGACCCUUGAACAAUGUGGGGGUUAGGGGCACUGACCUCCCCACCCCCAGCCCCUGUGAAGUAAAAAAACCUCCUAUAACUUUUCACUCUCCCAAAACUUAACUACUUAACUCCUAACAGCCUACUAUUGACCAGAAGCCUUACUGAUAAUGUACACAGUUGAUAACACAUAUUUUGUAUGUUAUAUGUAUUAUACAUUGUAUUCUUAUAAUAAAACAAGCUAGAAAAAAACCAUUAUUAAGAAAGUCAUGAAGAAGAGAACACACACGUAUAAUACUGUACUGUAUUAACUGAAAAAAGUACACAUGUAAGUGGGCCAUGUAGUUCAAACCUAUGUUGCUUGAAGGUCAACUGUACAUCUCGCAACUGUAAUAACAAUAGCCAUAUCAGCACACAUUUAUUAAGUAUAUUCUUGGCUCAGCACUGUGCUAAGUACUUUUCGUAUACUAAAUUCUACUGCAAUAGUAUUGUUAGGUAACUGCUAUUACCCUCAUUUUAGAGAUCAGGUAACUGAGGCUUAAAAAGAAUAAAAAAUCUACUCAGGCUCACACAGAUAAUCAAUGGUAUAUAUCCAAUUCAAGAUCAGAUGUGUCCUGAUCUAAAGCUUGUGCUCUAAAAUCCAGCUCUACUCUGAGUCCCAUCAUUCAGUCCUUUUGAGAUCAGCAAAGACAGUGGAGUGAAAAGCUACACGCUAGAAUGCAAGUUUGAUACACUAUCAUUACCCAUUGGCAGGAAGCCCAUGGCAAGGAUCCAUUCUUAAAGAGUGUGGUCAGGGAUUUGAACUCUGCCCUGCUCAGUAUGAAAAGCAUAACAGCAGGAAAACCAAACCCUUCUUUCCCCCCUGAUCCAAGUCUUUAGUUCAUAGGCUGCCUAGCAGACUUGGCUGUUGUCCAUCCUUGUGCUUUCUCUUACUGAUAGAGCCGGCCAUCUCAGGAAAUUCAGUAGACCACGUAGAUAUCAAAGUAAGAAACCCACUAAGCCAAUUAUAAGUGGGAGAAGUCAUGAUGUAGACUAGUUGCAUUAAAGCCACCUGUUCUUUGCAUAAUAUACACACAGCUAAUAAUUAUUAGCAAGUAAUUUACCUCUCUAAUUUGAGUGAAGCUGGGAAAAUAUUUGAGCUAUUUAUAAAGAAAUGCUUUCUCCUUUUCAAGUAUUUAUGAAUAAGUACUGAGUUCUAUAGAUUAUAUAGUAAACUCUUUAUCUUCUCCUAUAAGUCUGUUUCUUGUUUUCUGUUUUCUCCUCAGUAAAUGCACCUACUCACCCAAGCUAGAAAUUUGAUUUUUUAAACAAUUUUCCUCUACUUUAGUCCUUAUAUUAAUCAUCAAGGCCCUUUUAGGCACUUCUGAAAUUUCUUGAAAUUUUUUGUUCUUCUUCAUAUCUGCUGUCUUUGGCAUAGAUUGGUCUCAUAAUCAACUGCAUGAAUGAUAUGAUAGCCUGCAUACUAGUUUGUCUGCUUUCAUUUUUUUCAACAUGAUUGGUUUCAAGACAUGUUAGAAUAUGAUUCUGUUCUGUUAAGACCCUUCAUGAGUACCUUAUGGUCUAUAAAGUUCAAACUCCUUUGUCAUGCAUAAUGUUUAAGUCCAUUUAUUCAUUUAAACUUUUAUUAAGCUUCUGUUUACUACCUAGAGGAAAAAUAAUAAAAAAGGAGAAUUUCCUGUCAUUGACAGAAACUACCUAGAGUCUAGUGGAGGACUUGUAUAUAUAAGGACAUAUACAAUAUGUAUAAUAGGUGUAGUUAGAAGUUUGUUUGAGGUAGUAUAAGGGUUUAAUGAGGGAGUGGUUAAUUAAUUCCUGUGGGGUAUAACUGUUAGUUGAUCUUGUAACAUCCAUUCUGUAAUUUUCCAUAAUCCCACAUCAUGCUGCUCUUGGGUUUAGUCACAGAAAAUGUGAUAUAGGUUAAGCCAAAUCGUGUUUUCUUUGUCCCUGGUCUCAGACAAUGGUUUAGGGAUGCACUUAUGAACUUGGCUGGUCAAACAAAAAUGAGUGUUGGGACUUCUGUAGGAGGCUCUGGAUCAGAGAUGCUCUGUUUCUUUCUGGACAAGGAAGCAUGAUAAGCCAGGACUUGCUGGCAGCCAUUUGGAAAAUAAUAUGGGAGCCAGGUCAAGAUGAAACUUGAUUUCGCUUGAAAAAUCAAGCAAAAAGAUGAUAGGAAAUGUAUCUUUAAUGAUGCUGUUGAGCUGGGGGAUUAAGUAUUCUUAAACUCUGCCCUAAUUCUGAACUUUUUAGUUAGGUGAGACUCCUUAUUGUUUGGCCAAGAUUAUAUAUAAUUUUGCCUCCAGUUUUUAAUUCCUCUUCUCUUGGAAACUGUUGGGAACCUUACUUUUUCAGCUUAAAGAAGACCUCGUAUCUGGUCUAGAUUCGUUCCUGUGAGGCCUACUUAAUUCUUGCCAGCUAUGUUCUUAUGUGUUGAAAUGUCUACUUUUUGCUUUAGGAUUCUCAUUACUAAGACCAGUCUUUCUCUCUCUCUCCCUCUCCCUCUCCCACUCCCUCCCUUUAACCACAUGCUCUUUCAGAUGGACAGUGCUGUUUGCGCUUCCUUAAAAUCAAUUCUUCACACUUUAUCUUUGGGAAACUACCCCUCUCUUAUUCUCAGUCUGUAAAAUGUUGGUAUCUGUGACUGUAGCCUAUGAGUCUAGGAGAGCUAAUUAGUGGCUGAUGAGCUCACUGUGUUUCUCUGGUUCCAAAUAUUAGGUUAGCAGGGGAUCUGUGGCCACUCCUGGUCAAUAUGAAUGAAUAAGCACCCUCCCUGGUGUAUCACUCAGGGCCCAGUCAAGAAAGAUUAAUUGAUAACUUGAUAAUUAUAAUAAUUUGAUAGUAAAAAUAUAAUUUGAAAAGGAAAAUUUACUAUAAAAGAUUGUUAAUGAUAAAAAGAGGUAGAAAAGAAAUCUAAAGCACAUCCUAGGGCUGAAGGAGGAUAUCUAAGGAAGAAACAAACUUGGCAGGUGGGAAACUCUCACCAAGGCCAGGAUUCAGGCCCCACUGGAGAGGAUGUGAUUGUAGACACUAGAUGGUGGAGAGGUUCCUUAGGUUGCUCAGACCAGAGCUGGCUCAAAGUUGGUGGAACAUGGCUGGUAAGCAGAGAACCACCAGUUGGGAGUGCUCCUGAAAUCACCAGGAAGCUGCCUAUAGGAGUUGCUGUGGAACCUGCUGUAAAUCAAGCUGGAGUAGAGUGGAGGUAGGGUUUUAGGGCCCAAUGAAGACACCGGGGAGCUGUCACCAGAAAGCUGAUAGCAAGUGAGCUAUGGCACGUAUAGAACUCACCCCGAGGAAGCCUGCUCCGUCACUCCCAUAGCUUGCCUGGAAGCUCUUCAAUAUGAGUUUGUUCUAAGGAUCUCACUGCUGGGAAGCCACCUAAGGAGGUGAGUUUUACUGAGUGUCUCACAUGCUAGCACAGCACAAUAGCAGCAAGAAAAAACCAAGCAUACCGGAACUAGGAAGAGAAUCCCUUUACUUUUCCAGGGUCCCUCCAGCACCUUCUACUGACAAAGCUUAACAUCAUUCUAGCUGGAAAGGGGAAAAUGUUCCGAUUAUCACAAGAAGGGCAAUGAAGCCUGGCUUUGUAGGUAAGAGGCUAUAAUGAAUUGCUGUCACAUUUGGAAUUUUUAUUAUAAUAUGAAAAAAGAGAGGCUCCCUGAUGUCUACUGAUGAUCACUCAGAGCAAAAUGGUGGCUAUUUUACCAACAGGAGGGAAAAGUUCACCUUAGAAUAAAACCAGCACAGAAAAAAACAGAGCUGAGAGAUGAGGAAAGGCAAGUCGUUACAACAUUGUUUGAGUGCCUGGAUCUAUCCAUACCUUCAAUCCACAUUGAGGAGGAGCAAAAUAUGUGACCCUAAAAUAUGUCAUUUGGCACGUGGAUUAUUUUGAGCUGAAGGCAAUCAAGAAUCAGCAGACUCAAGGAAAACUUUUAUCUUCUCCUUUACCCGAAAGAAGAACUAUUAUCAAAAAUAACUUUUUAUCUGAAAGACCUAUCUGUAUAGAAGGGCGAAUAUCUAAUUAUCAAACAUUUGCUCUUCUUACCAUUCUGUGAAUUGCCCUCUUCCUCUUUGAAGCCCCAGGCUUCUAUCCUAUUCCUUAGCUCAGGACAGCAUAUCAGCCUUGAUUGACCUACUUGUCAUGAGGUCUUAUAUUCUUAUGGGAUUCCCAUAGGUGCGUAAUUAAGUUUUUUUUUCUGUUAAUCUAUCAUGUCAAUUUAAUUAAUAGACCAGUCAAAAUAGCCUAGAAGAAAAGAACAGAAAAGUUUUUCUCCCCUGCAACAUACACUUGGACUUUUUAGUUAUAAAGCUAAUGAGUUUUUCCCCUAACUAAACCAGUUUGAGCUGGACUUAAGUGGCUUACAGUCUAAAGUGUGCUGAUCAAAUCUUCAAUAAAUCCUUAAGCAUUCAGAUCAGUUCAGUGUUGUCUUUUUAAUCUGCAUAUAUCGUCUCAAUUUUUGAUAUUGGUUCCUGAAUACAUCAUCCCAGAUACCGUAGUGACCUAGAAUCUCCACAUUUGCACAGCCCCAUAAACUUCUUAUGGAACAUCCUCAGGCUUCCUGUGUCAUGCCCUUUGCAGGUGUAUCUCAGGCUUUUAUGGUUCAAUCAUUUCAUGUGCAAUAUCAUAUUAAUUACAGUGGAACAAACGAGAUUGAAAGGGGUUGAGUGACAGUGAUAGGGGGAAAGUUCUUAAUGAGAGAAUCUAGGUUUGAGAGGCUUGGUAUUUGUUUUCCAGAUUUGGGGAAAUUCCUGGCUGGAUAAAGUCUUUCCAGAGAGCCAAGAUGCUCAACAAAACCCAAAGUAUUACCUGCCCUUUUCUGAACUGAAUGAUUUCAAUGUGAAAGACGAAUGAAUAGCUGUAAUAUGGUCCCAUAAACUUAAAUGGUCACAAUUUAAGAAAUUGAAUUGGUUUUGAUGGGUACUUUUUCCUACUGCUGUUGAAAGGUAAUUUGCCUGAAAGUCAAAGACAAGGGGAGAGAAUUUUGUUGAACACACAGAGGAAUGGUUUCCAGGUGAACCAUUAGCUCUGCUCCACGAUCUCAGUGCCCUCAACCGAGGCUGAAGUUGUAUCAAUAGCAAUCACUCAUGUAAUCUGACAGGGGAGGGAUUGCCUGAUGGAGAAUAUUUCCAAACACACAAUAGCCCAGAAAUUGCUUUCAAAUAACCUGGCACUGUUCCCAGAGAUGACAGCCUCUAUUAUAUAUAUCUUUGUAAGAAAAGAUUUCUGCAUUUCUCAGAUUCCACAAAUUUAGUCCAAGUUAGAAGGUUUGCAGCAGAACAGAACUUCAUGUUGGAAGAGGCAAUAGAAUUGAAAUACUCAUCUCAUUGAUCUUGGCAACUUUCAACCUUCUCCAGCUUAUUCUACACGAAACUUUGGCCUGACAUAGGUUUUGAAUGUGGAAAAGGAGAAUGAAAAGGAGAAAAUGGAAGGAAUGUGGGGGAAGUGAAGAAGAGCCAUUGGAGGAUCUUCAUUCAUGGUCAGGAACUUGACACAAUGAUGAUUGGGGAAUCAAGUUCUUCUUCCCUGAUAUUCCUCUCCUUUCAGAGAGAGAAUCAGGGUGUGAAUUGAAGCUAAAUAUUCACCUUGAGGAUUCUGAGUCACCAGGGUAGAUUAUUGGGAGUCCUCUUUCAUAAAGGACCAUAGAUCUUCUAGGAUAAACAGUGCAUAUUCCAAGAUGUGAGCCCAGAGCUCUCUAGUUGGAAGAUAAGUGGUGCCCCAACCUAUCAGUAAACAAAGUUUACAUUUUCUCAGAGGGCAGAAAAUUCCUCCUGAGGGAAGAGUGUUCUAAAAGAUACAGAUAGCACACCUGAAUGUUGUGCUUGCUGGUGGUUCACUAAGCACAGGCCCUUGGGGAGCUUAGUCUAACUUCUUAGAAAAGGAUGAUUGUUACACUGGAUUUUUAAGACAAUCAGUUGGUCUUUGGAAGACCCAAGAGAGCCAUAAUCAUUGACAAGUGUACCCACUUACAGUAGGUCAGAAAAACCCUGCUCACUUUAUUUGUAAUAUCCAAAAACUAGGAGAACCCCAAGUGUCUAUUUUUGGAUGUAUGGAUAAAAUUGUGAAUAUCCUUCUAAUGGAAUACUAUUCAGCAACAAAAACAAAUGAGAGAGGGAUACAUGUAACAAUACGGAGGAACUUCCAAAUAAUUAUGCUGAUUACACAGAAACGCAAACAAAUCUAUAGUGACAGAAAACAGUUCAAUAAUUUCUUGAAUAUUUGGGGAGGGUGAGGAAGAUGGGAAGGAGGAAUUACAAAGGGGCACGAGGAAAUUUUGGGUGAUGAUGCGUAUGCUCACUGUCCUGAUUGUGGUGAUUGCUUUAUAUAUAUACCUGUCAAACAUAUCCAAUUAUACACUUUGAAUUUUGUACGCUAAUUAUGCCUCAGGAAAGCUGUUAAAUAUAUAAACAAACAACUCUGCUCACCUAGUGGCCAGAGUAAUUACAUUUGUCUUUAAGACCUGGAAAAGAAAACUGCCUCCUGACUUCAGGAUGCGUUUCAUGGAGAUGAUGAGAACAUCACAGUGGCACAUUGGUUGUGGAAUAGGCACGGGCAAGGUACAGUAGCUUCCAAGGUGGUCAGAGCUACUGGAUUUGGAAUUGUAAUGAUGAGAUGAAGCAAGAGUUUAGAGAUAAAUCAAUUUAACUUUGUUGUUGACAUGCAAGUCCUUGAUUAUAGCUAAGACUUGAAUUGAAGUCAGGGAUCAGAAAAGAUUACAUGAUACAUACUACAAAUGUGGACUUGUCACUUACAGCCAUGAAACUGGGAUGUUCUGAAGAGACUUGAAAGCAGGAAGAUCAAUCUCAGUGGCCUGGACCAAUACCUCAAUUUGUUCCAGUUCAGUCCACAGACAACAAGGCCUACUUGUUUUCUUUUUCAUUUUAUUGAGAAGGCAUUUACCAACUGGGAUUGUAUGGGCUCAGGAUUGAUAAAACAAAUGAAGGGAAAAUAUGCCAGUUUCCAUACUAUGCUGUGCAUACAAGGAAUAAGAGUUCUUUGUGGCUCAAGAGGACUGAACAUAGAGUGAAUGGAUAAAAACUAUUGGGUGAUAGCACUUGAUUUAAUAUGAAGAAGUUAUUAAGAAUAUGGGUAAUAUUUUACAAAUGAAAUGGGCUGCUUAGUGAGACAGUAAUCUCCGUGUCAACAAGAGUAUUGGAUCUUAAGCUAAUUAUAGAUAUUAUUUCUAUAGUUUGUGCUCCCUUAGCUAAAUAAUACAAUCUGUAUUAUGCAGACCACUAUUAGUUAUAACAUGACAACUAACUAUAUGGGCAUAGAAAAAAUAUUGCAGGAAGCAGAGUAAUACAUAGAUUUUUAGUGGCUGCUUACUUAAUUUGCGUUACAUUCCCUUGUUUGAUAUAUGCAAUUGUAAAUUGUGUUACAAUUUUGUAAAGUGUUGUAAUAUAAUUUGAAUUAUGUUCAUUUUGUAAACAGUGUGCAGUGUAGGUGAUAUGGAAGUAUAUCUGUGGAUUAAUUGCCUUUAUGACAUGAUUUUUUUAUAAAGUAAGAUUUCUUAUGAUUAAAACUCUAACAACUAUAGUGUCACAGCCCCUGUAGAAGGGAUGAUCACACUGGACAAUAUUAGACUAGAUCCUCUAAGGUGAAUGGCAAUUCUUCAGUUGUCUGAUUCUAAUAAUUGUAGAAAAGUUCAUCGAUGGGGAUAGAGUUCCUUCUGCUGGGAACAUUCCCCUCAUCCACCCCCACCCUUUGCCUGAAUUCCUCCUUCUUAUUACUUAGGUCCCAACUCAGAACCUCUGGGAGGACAUUUUGGAGAGAAAGGAUCAGUAGUUUGUUUUCAGCCAUGUUACAAUGUUAGAUACUUUUCUGACACUCAAAGAAAGAGGUGAGUUGGAGGCUGAGUGUCAAACGAGGGAAGAGAGAGCAUUGUACUGAGGGUACCUAUUUCCAUGAGAUUUCGAUAAAACAAGCAAGAAAGAAUGUGGAUAGAAGAGGGAGGAGAACACAGGGAGCACCCUGGGCCCCUUUGACAUUUAGAGAUCCAAUAGAGAAGACAAGAUGCAAUAGCCAGAGAGGUAGGAGAAAUUCAGAUGAGCACCGUGCGACAAGCGCCUAGAGAAUUUCCAAAAGGAGGAAAGGCUACACCACCUGAGUUUUGUGCUCUUUUUAUCAAAAAUGUAUAACUGAAUACGAUCAUGGAGAAACAUCAGACAAACUCAAAUUGAGGGACAGUCAGCAAGAUAAUAAGUGGCCUGGAGUCUUCAAAUAUAUCCAGGACAUGUCUGACAAGAAAGAAGUGAGAAAUUGCUCCAGAUUAAAAAGAAUAAAGGGACAUCAUGCAUAAUGCAAUGGAUCUUGGAUUGGACCCUGGUAUAAAAAUAAUAUAGGGCCGCCUGGGUGGUCCAGCCAGUUGAAUGUCCGACUCUUGAUUUUGGUUCAGGUCAUGGUUCCAGGGUCAUUGAAUGGAACCCCAUACCAGGCUCUGCACUGAGCAUGGAGCCUGCCUGAGAUUCUCUCUUCUCUCCUUCUGCCCCUCUCCCCAGCUUGCGCUCUUGCUCUCUCUCUCUAAAAACAAAUAUAUAUGUGUAUAUAUAUAUAUAAUAUAUAUGUGUAUAUAUGUAUUUAUAAAUAAGUUUAUAAAAUAUAUAAAUAUGUAAGAUAAAAAUAUAUAAAUAUAUAAAAUAACAAAUAUAUAUAUAUAUAUAUAUAAGAUUAUUGGAACAACUGGCAAAAUUUGGGUAAGGUCUGUAAAUUUGAUAAUAUUAUUUAUAUCAAUAUUAACAUCCUGAUCUUGAUAACUCUAAUGCAGUUGGGUAAGAGUGUCUUUGGGUGUUAAAGGUAAAAGAGCCUAAUGUUCAGAAUAUGUUCUCAAAUAGUUCAGAAAAAAUACCAUCUAUCUAUCUAGUAUCUAUCUAAUCUGUCUUCUUUCUUUCUAUCUAUCUAUCUAUCUAUCAUUAAUCUAUAUAGAUAAAGUAAAUGUAAAAUUUUAAUUUGGAGAAAUAUGAGUGAAAUAUAGUAAUAAUUGUACUAUCUUUACAACUUCUUUUUAUCUAAAAUUAUUUCAAACUACAAAUUUCAUUAAAAAUUUGAAAAACAGAGGAGAAAAUGAAAAUACAAACAUGUCCCUGUCAAUUAUCAUAGACUAUCAUUAUUAUAGACCAUUCAGUGUAUCAUUAUUAUAGACUGAAAAAUGUGGCCUUUCCUGACCCCUAACACCUACCAUCUGUUGUACAUAUGUCUUUUAACCUCACACGUGACUUUCGAUCUUCUUUCUGCUUCAGAAAUUGAGAACAAGUUCUCCAGACUCAAGGUGCCUUAGACCAUUUUUUUCCCAUAGAAGGAUUUCUAAUGAUCCCGGAUACAAUUAAGCCCUGAUGAAAGAGUACUUCAGUAUGGUUUAUGGGACUAUUCUGCUCGACAUAUAAGUCUAUUAAAAUGACUUUUCUCAUGAAGAGAUUCUUUGAUACAUUAGAACAACAAUGAUAUUAUUGUCACUCAACCAUUUCAUUCCAAGAGCCAGAGCUAUAUAUAAGUCAUAAGAAUGCAUUCAUAAGAGAUGGAAAACACAGCUUUGUGAGAUUGACAAGAAGACGUUUUAGUAUUAGAACAGGCAUGCUUUCUGAAGAGCAUUUCAGAAAUUGGGGUCAAGAAAAUGGCAGCUGGGUCUGUAGGAUAUUCACAUCAGCACUUUUUCCCUUUAACAUUUGCAGUUUUACAGAGGCCAAAAAUUAUAUCUUUGUUUCCCUCAGAUUUUCUUGACUUCUCAGACAUCUGAGUGAUUCCUUAGUUGUCGCUCACCAACAAAGACUUAACAUUUACCAGAGGACUUGAGAGCAAAUUCCUCAGGCCUUCAAACCAUGGAUGAUUAGAAAAGCCAGCAUUUAGUAAUUAAACCAUGAAAUGAAUGUGAACCACGGAAUAUUUGGAAGGUUAUUGCAGAAUGUCCCCAGCAGCUGUCAAGCAUGAAGGACUUCUCCUAGAAGAGAAGCUCUUCAGUCUUCAAGAUGUCCAGGGGACCCCUCUAGCUAUGUUACAGUUUUUCUCUAGCUGGAUAUUUUCUCAUACUUCUUAAUAGCUAAUAUAAAUCACAAAAUUUCAUAAUGGUAGACAGGCAUCCUAGGGUUGGCUUAAUAUGUAUCAUCUAGCAAUUUGCAACACAACCUACUGGGUAACUCUGCAUAAGUUAUUUUGAUCAGUUUAUGCAGCAUAAUGAUAAUGGCUUUCGUAAAUUGCUUGUUUUUCCUUUUGUGUGAUAGAUUUACUGCUCCAGAUUCUGAGGGAGCUCAGAGACUCAUAACUUUGGAGAAAUAUCAAGCCUUCACCCCUCUGUGUUAAAACAUGAAAGUUUUCAUGAAUCAAGAAAAUGUACUCUGUAUUUCCAGAGCUUACACAAUCACAGGACACCCAUCAAAAUAUCUGUCUGCUGAGAGUAUUUACUAGUAUCUGCUUUUGUAGCAGCAUUUCCUGAUGGACCCACGUUGAAUGAUAUUGUUUUAUUCAUGAAGGGUAAUUCUUUCUUCAGUUGGAUUUAUGAUCAGGCUUUUUCUAGAUUGGUACUCUUCCAUGAACUCAGAACACAUGCACCAAAGUUGAAGAAAAAAAUAAAUGAGAACAACAGUAUGGUAGGCCCUUUUUUAACCUUACCCAAGGUGAAUAAAGUAUUCUAUCUUUAUUCUACUUUCUGCAAAGUAUCAGUAAAUAGUCAGCAAAUAGUCCCUGGGUACCAUCAUGAGCAAUCCAAUGGGGGUAAUCAAAAAUAACAUAUUUUGCUAGGUUUGCCACCCUGUCAUAUCUCUGUUAUUUUUGAUAAGGAAGAACAGCCUCAUUGGCUGGUCUAAUGGAUGUAGAUGUUAACACCUGCAUAAAAAUACACCAGUAUUCCUAUCUUUGUUGUCAUAACUUUCAGUGACUUUUCUUUAAAGGUAUAGCUUUGGCAGGUAAAAACCUCCAAUCAAGGCUCUUGGUCUGGUGACCAGGAAAUGAUAAAGAGAGAUGAAAUUAAAAAUGGGUAGCUACGGGGUGCCUGGGUGGCUCAGUCAGUUAAGUGUCUGACUUCGGCUCAGGUCAUGAUCUCGUGGUUCAUGCUUGGGAUUCUGUCUUCCUUUCUCUGUCCCUCCCCUGCUUGCUCUCUAUCGCUCUCUCAAAACAAAACAAAACAAAACAAAACAAAACAAAACACUUAAAUGAUUAAGAACACAGGUAGCUCCUACUAACAUGACACUUCUUUGUCAGCUUAGACUUUUGAAGUUGAAAGGAGCUUUAAAAGUUGCCCGAGGAAAUUUAUUUCUUGUUCUUGGAUUUCUUCCUCAAUUAAUAAUUGUCCUGACUUUGGAUUGUUUGGGUUGAUAUGGCUUGAGAUUGGAAACUCACUACCUCUUAAGAAACCUCUGUAAAAAACACCUUUUCUUAUUAAAAUUUUUUUUCUUAUAUUCAGGGAAAUAAUUUUAUUAUUGGUUUCUUUCUAUGUGUCAAGCAUAGUUUAAUUUACACCCUUUGACUCAAUUCCUAGGUUUUGGUGCCAUACAAAACAAGUCCAAUUCCUUUGUAUGUGAGACAUAUUUAAGCACCUGAGGCUGGUAAUGACAUUCCUUUAUUCAGGUUAAAUACCUUCCAUUUUCAACUGGACUUCAUAGUUUCAAGUUUUCUCCUCAUCAUUUUACCAGUUAACCAUUUACUUGUGACCCAGAUCCAGACAAUGUCCCUUGUUUUACAUACUCUAUUUCCAUGCACAUGCCCUAAGAUGUAAUUAGUUCCUGUUUUUGGCAGCUGCACUAUAUUGUUGAUUUAUUUUAAUUAGUGUUUAUCAAGGAACUACUUUUUACCAAGUACUGUUAUGUGUUAAAGAUAAAAUAAAAGAGCGACAUGGCCCUUGACAUGGAAUCUGUAUUUGUAUAAGGUCAACAAACAGGAUGAAUACAUGACUAAGGGUGAUACAAUGUACUUCAUAUUCUAUUAGAAACAUCAAAAUGCUCUGGGAGCAUAGGGGAAGACUUGAUUACUUCUACACGGCUGUGUUGCUGCUGCUGGUAAAAUCAGAAGGCUUAUCUAAGAGCAACUGUUGAGCUAGAUUAUAAGCAUGCCAAUAAAACAGCAGAUGAGUUGGAAUUCUGGAAUAUUCUAGGAAGAUACAAGAUAGAGGCCAAGCAGAAGUGUAAAAAUAUGAGCUUUGUUUCAACAAUGGCUAGUAGAGCAAGAGUCAAGGCCAAGGACAGAGAGGAAAGUGGUAGAAAUGGAAGGUAGAAAUGAGCUGAAGCAACGACUUCUAAAGAAAAGCGUUUAGAGUUUGUAUGAUGGGUCCUCACCUCUCCAAGUGUGGUUUGUGGGUUAGCAGUAACAUCACUGCCUGGGAGCUUGUUAGAAAUGCAGAAUCUCAGAACUGCAUCUUAAGAAGGCUGCCAGGUGGCUUGUGUCCACACUGAAGUUUGAGAAACAUUGCUACAGGUGACAGAGAGCUCUUUAUGUGGAGUUUGGGGCAGAGAAAGAGGUGAAAAGGAAAGGUGUAUGGUUUGGGCACCAGUGUUAUCUCAGUAAGUCCUCACAAGGAACUUCUAUUACCUUCUUUGCAUAGAGAGGAAAGCUGACACCUGAGGAGGUUAAUUAUAUCAUCCAACAUCAUGAUUCAAUAAACAGCAAAGCAAGAAUUCAGACUCUGGUAUUUCUAGCUCCAAAGAAUGUCUGGCUCCAUUUUGAGACUAAUGGUGAUUUCAUCAGCAUUGAGUUUUAGAAAGUUAAAUGUGAGAGAGUCCAUGAAGGGAGCUGAGUCUGCCUUUCAGCUGGAAACUACCCUUUUUGCUCUUGUAAGGACUGAAUGAGAUAGAUGGUUUAGGGAAUGAGUGACAUAUGGCAGGGAGAUGGGAUCUGUUAUUUUUAGUUAUCAAGCCCUAGAGUCUUUGCUACACUCCUCUUUCCAGGCUAUGAUUAUGUAACCAAGUGUCUUCAUGGUCUCUUCCCCCUCUAAUAUCCAAAUAUCAACCAUCCGAGCUGUCUUCCUGAGUGGGGAAAGUCUGGUCUUUUAUUUUAUCCCCACUCCAAGCAUAUCUGGGAAUGGCAAAGGCUUAUUUACAUGUGUGAUGAUCCCUGUGUGGCUUUCACUUUUCAAGUUUACCAGCCUUCUUUUUGAUAACUCUUUCCUCAUUAGUUUCACUCUAACAGUGGAGAUGAACAUCUCUAUUAAUUCCCCAAAGGACUAUUAAGGUCAGUGUUUGGGCACAAGAGUAGGAAACAACAAUGCAGAAAAUAUAAUUGGAUCCUGAACAGCUUUUAAAGUCUCUUUUAGUAUCCUCCUCUCUUUCCUUAGCUUCGGUUUGCUCUGAUGUUUCAGGGACCAACCUCACUUUUCUCCACGUGGGUGUUUUGAUCAUUUCUACUCUGCCUUGAAGGCAGGCUCGCAGCUUCUUCCUGGGCUCAAUAAGAAGGAGAAAGGGAUCUUGACUUCCCCAAUUCCAGACUUGCUUUUUUUCCUUAUUCCCCAAGAUUCACGAAAGUGGAAAUGUUCAUUUCCUUUAGAAGAAAUAUCAGUCUCUAUCUGAAGGGUGUAAAUUGGCCUCCAUGUCUAAAUUAGGCAAUUGCAGUACUCAACAUUUUAUUUCCUGUUUGGCUACUGUAAGCUAAAAUAACACCAUGAGGGGGAUACCAAACUAUGAAGAUAGCUCCCCUUAGCCCUCUAGCACUUUAUUCCUACUGAUGUGGCUUGGUAUCAUAAUUAGUAAGAAGCUACUUUUCAAACACACCCACACAGUAAGAACAAAUAGCUUCCUUACAAAGGAAAGUCUGAAGUCUAAACAACAUUUAAUAUCGUGAGCUGAAGUAGGCCUUCCCAAGGACAGUAAGUAGAUAGUACAUCUGCAUAACUCAGUGGGCUUAGUAAGCCCAUCCUACACUGUCCAUUAUGACUGGCACAUCGCAUCACUCUUAGAAGAGGUACAUUUAUUAGUAGGUAUGUGUGUGUGUAGAAGUAACCACAAGGUUAUAGAAAAAAUAAAUCCAUCCAACUGCUAUAUUCUUUGACACCAUCUUGACACAGUAAACCACAGAAACUGGCAGUAUCUAAACACUGAUUCAUAGUUCCUGCUUGAUUUAAAGGUCACUCUAUAUUAAGGACUGGAGGAAUGGUCUCCAAAGAGGGUACACGUACCCCAGAGACAAAGUUUACAUCUACCUUGAAAGCAAAAACUUCCUGUAAUCCAUCUAAUGAUACAAUAAGCUUCGACAGUUUUAAUAUAUUUCCCUCCAUGAACUACCCUAUUACUUGUGCUCUGUUGUUUGCCUUGGAUACAAAAUGAAGACUUUGCCUUCACACCUAUGAAAAUUAUUCAAGGUAUGUUUAAGCCACAGAAUAAGUUUUUUAUGUCCUUACUGGAUGAAGUCUAUAUUUUCAGUUUGGAGUUUGAAGGAGUAGGAAGAAAGAAAGAACUGACACUUAUAUUGAGUUUUAUGCUUUUGAGGACACACAUCCUUAUGUACCUAGAAGCUGUGGGCUUAGCCUCUAAAAAUGCACUCGCAGGUAACAUUAAGAAUAUAAUUUGACCUGAUAUAUUCUUUCAAACCUUUCAUGGAUCCCUCCAUGAAGACUUUUGAUGUAAGAUUAUUUUAGAAAAAUGGGGACAAUAUCUUGGUACCGUUAAGUGGAAGAAAAUGUUAAUACCUUUAAGGUAGCGGAAAACUUUAUACCUCUAAAGAGUAAUCUCGGCAUCAUGUUAUUGCUUCAGUCUGAGGUAAAAGAUGGACUUCAUCUGUUACCAUGAUGGUUUUCCUGAGGCCAACCAAGUUGUUGACCAGAUUUAUCCCUGCAGUAGUUAAUGCUGGAUGCCUGCGGCUUGAAUGGCUUUUGAAAGUGGGUAGGAGCUAUAAAUCAAUGGUUGUAUAUUGCUAGUUUCUGUGGCUUAGUCUUCAAAAUGGAGCCAAGAACAAUAGCAAUUUAAAGGAUUUAGUUUCUUAGUGAUCAGGUAUUUCCUUUUCUUUCACACCCACACUUACUCACUGAGUGAUGGUGUGUGACAAUCACUCCUGCUCUUUGAACACUUGCAAAGUAUUUGAUCACUGUAACUUACAGAGUUGCUUUAAUGGAACCUUCCUCAUGACUUUUCUUCUGGUAACGGGACAAUUGCUGAGUGUUCUCUAAAACCUAAUGGGGAAAGAGAGAGUGAGUGACAGAGAGAGAAUAUCACGUAAAUGAGUCAACCAGGAUCGUUGAUUUGUGGAUAGUGGGAGAUUCUGUGUUUCUCAAAGUAAGGGAGGGAGGGCAGGGCAGGAUUAACAUCAUUUAUGUUUUUGACACACAGGCAAAACAACAGUAGAUCUUAUUGCUUAAGUAGUGUGGAUUUCAGCAGGUGCUUCUCUGAGGUGUAGGUUUUUUUUGAAACAAAAUUUUAAGAAUGUCAAAGGGCACUUAACUCAGUCAAAUGUCACUUCAUUUCAAAUCUUGGAAAUUCCAGUAGUACAUGUCUCUGAUAUAGAAACACUGGUGUGUAAAUUAUUCAGAUAAGGUCUCAAAUGUUAAAUGUUAAUGCAAAAUAAUGGCUUGAGUUCCAGGGAAACGAAAACUUGUGUGAUCGGGUCCAAGUCACUAGCAUGUCUAACUAGGAUCAUUCUUUUUCUCUCCUUGCUCCCUAUGGUCCAUUCUCCACAAAGAAGGCAAGAAAACAUUGCAAAAAAAACCCAAAAAACAAAAAACUUAAGACUUUAACAUUUAUUCAUUUGUGAGAAACAGAGACAGAGUGUGAGCAGGGGAGGGGCCAAGAGAGAGGGAGUCACAGAAUCGAAGCAGGCUCCAGGCUCUGAACUGUCAGCACAGAGCCCAACUCAGGGCUGGAACUCACAGACUGUGAGAUCAUACCUGAGCUGAAGUUGGACGCUCAAUCUAACUGAGCCACCCAGGUGCCCUUGUCUUAUUUUCUCUUAUUAUAUUUAUAAUAUAAUCAUAUAUAUAUAUAUACAUAUGUAUGUAUAUAUAUUACUUAAAAAUAUGAAAUUGAUUAAUUUUGUAUACAUAUUUAUCUUCUACUUCCUCAGUAGGAUGUAAUCUUCCCAAGGGCAAAGACUUUCUUUUAUCCAGAAUUAUAUCCCCAAGUUUUAAACAGUGCCUGCUGUAGAAAUAAGUACUCAAAACAGCUGUUUGGAUUACUGAAUGAAUGAAAGGGCUAGCUCUCACUGGGAUUCCACUUUGCUGGAUCUCAUGAUGAAAUACAGAAUGUUAGAGAAAAAAAUAUAUAUUUCUCAGACUCAUUGGGCCUCCCUUCAACACAAUCUCAAACCUGUCUCUUUUGAGAGCAAACGAAGAGAGAUCCCAUGGAAGACAUAGUCUGUGAUAUUUGGGACUCCUAUCACCAUUGGAGGGAGGGCAGGGAGAAGCUUCAAAAGCCAAUGACAAAUACAGAAAUGGAAAGAAACCUGGAACAUAGCAGUUCAUCUCUCUGAACAUAGCACCCGAUUAAGUCACUUUAAUGGUUCUAUUCCUUGGGCAGAGAAGGCCUUUGAGCUCAGAAUAUAAACUCAAGUCCCAUUCUUGCUAAACAUAAACCCCUGCAAACCUGGACAACGUCCAGACUCCUGGGUCUAUUUUAUCAUCUGUGAAGUGGGAAUACUAAUAAAAAGAGCCAAUAAUUUAAUUGAGUCUUUAUUCCAAGCCCUAUGUAAAUAUUUGCAUGUAUUAUUUUAUUUAGUUCUCACAAUUGUCCCCAUGAUAUGGGUGUUAUUUCUAUAACCACCCCCACCUCCACAUCACAGAUGAACAUCAAGAGGCAUUUGGUAAUUAUGGAAGGGCUAUAACAGAGCUGGGAUUGAGGCUUCAUGUCACUUUGAACUAGAAACUUAGGAUCUUUAAAAAAAUUUUUUUAACUUUUUUUUUUUUUUUUGAAGGAGAGAGAGAUAGAGUGUGAGUGAGAGAUAGAGAAGGGCAGAGAGGGAGACACAGAAUCUGAAGCAGGCUCCAGGCUCCGAGCCAUCAGCAUAGAGCCCAACGUGGGACUUGAACUCACAAACUUGAGAUCAUGAUGUGAGCUGAAAUGAGACACUUAACUGACUGAGCCACCCAGGCGCCCCAAGAAACUUAGGAUCUUAACAGAUAGGCUAUGUGGUUUCACCCUUUUAACACAGUUGGAAAAACAAAAUGAAAUAAAUAUGUAGCUCUAACUGAAUUUAUCAUACACUCUUGCAAUUGUCAUAAACACAUAGAGCUUCCGCCAUUAGACUGGGAGAAUUUCAAGGUUACAAACAUGCUUUUUAUUUACCUCUGUGUCUCCAGGAUCAAGUGUAGAGCUCAUAAAAUUAAAUAAGUUCCCUCUCCCUUCUCACUCCCUUCCUUGCUUUCUUUCUCCUCUAGUGAUAGAACUUACAGGUGCCUUACCCCACAGGGUCAUAACAAAGGUGUUCCUGUGCAAGGAGAAGCGGAUCACGGCCAAGGCACGCUCCCCAGCUUUCCCUCUUCCAACCAGCUGGAAAUCCACACUGCCGCCCUGCUUCCUGCAGAUGCAGCUUUGCCAAGUACUUUGCACAAUUCCCGGGCAGGUUAGGGUGAGUGCUAUGUUUAGAGCACAACUAUAAGUCUGUAGGAGUUUUAAAAUUCUAGGAAGUAUCAUUAGCUCUGUCUGAAGCACAGGGCUUGGCUUCAUUAACUUCAUAAAGUACAGGAACAAGGCUUCUGGUCACAUAUUGUAUUUAGAUUCAGUGGUGGUAAUUUCACAGAGGGUUGGGGGGAAAGCCUCUGUGAUUCAGGAGCAGGAGGCGGGAAUUCAACUAAUACUACAGGUUACACAAAGAAAACAGAUUUAUUUAUUUAUUUAUUUAUUUAGUGCCACCCACUGUUGAAGUUAUGGGGGAAAUCAUUUAGUUCCUACUUGGUUCUGAUCAGGGUCCCAAAGGAAAUGUAAACAGCUGUUCUCAGCUGUGUGAUUUUUGUUUAUUAGUGUUUUAAGUUUAUGUUUGUGCAAUAUGUAAUUUCCCUUUGGAUCCUUUUAUGCAUGUAGAUAGUAAAUAAUAAUGUGACAGUCCACACACCAGAGUGUAUUAAUCAUUCUUGGCAGGUAGAGAGCUGCUACUCGUUUUUCAAAUAGAGGGAAUAAAAGUUCAAGAACAUUAAAUGGCAUGCCUUGGAUCAGUGGAUGGGACAGUCAUGAUCAAGACUGAAGAGCAAAGGCCAAACCUGAAAACUUCCUCAUUAACUCAGUAAUCAGAAUCUGAUUAUGUAGAAGCACAUUGGAAAGAAAACAAGAAAGCAGGCUGAUACUUCAAACUAAAAAUAAGCUUGGGGAGUUUUUAAUUGUUUACCUUGGCUGUCCUCUGCCCUUUAAAUGACCUUGACUGGAUAGCCAUUUGGGGAUCCUUAAGGCUGAUCUCCUUUUCCCUAAGCAAACAAGACUUUCACUGCAGUUAGAGGAAGUUGAAUAUUGGAAGGGAAAGUUGUGCCACACCAUCUGCACUUUCGCUAAUUUCACUUAGUCUGUAAAUGGCCAUCACUUGAGAAAUGAAAAUAGAGUCACCCUAUUAUGCAAAGGUACAAAGUGUAGGAGCAGGCAAAUAGAUUCACUUCUUGAUGCUGAGAUGAGCUUUUGUGCUUUAAAACUCUUAAAAUUCCACAAAUAAAUAUGGGGCAAGCCUACCCAUUCAUGGCACUCUGCACAGACUCAGAGGGCUGGAUGGAGUGCUGGAGAUUACCCAGAAUCAUGCUCCAUUUAACAGAUGAGGAAACUAAGACUCCAGAAGCACAACUGUGACUGGAACCCAGCUCGCUUAGUUAAUAGUAUUCUUCUCAAGUCCUAUCCACCAUUUCUCAGGGCCACCAUCACUGAUUUCCAAGCCUCACAGAAAGUCAUUCAACUAGCAUAUUACAAAGCGCAGAUUUUUGGACUCAGUCCAUUGGUCUUUCCAUUUUUGUGCUGGACUCGCUUUUGUAACAAAUAAGAAAAUUGUGCCAUUGUACCUUCUGGUCUCUAGACCUUAUUCUGCAAAAUGACAUCCUAAUUUCUGUUCUUAGAGUGAAAAUAUUUCAUAGAAAUAAUGGGUUGAACCACAGAACCACAGAAAGAGUCCCAAGGCAUUCUGCUGAUGGAAUUGAUUUUUCAGAGCUGUCUCCUUUGUUCUGAAAGGAAACAAGUUGGCAAUCUCACUGGAAAUGAGGACCACAUUAAUUAUUUAUUAUAAGUUAUAACCAUUUACACAGAGAUAUAACAAAAGCAGGUUUGGACAUGUUUAUUAAUAAUCCCAAAGCUAUUUUUUAGUACUUGACUUAUUAUAAUUCCAUGACCAACGUAGGAAAUCGAAGAAAAAUGACUUCCCUUCAAGAUACAUCGGGAAAAUGUUAUUUUAAAAUAUCUUCCAAUUCUGAAAGAUAACACAGUGUUUUAUUUUAAAUUUAUAUCUAGAGCUCUCUGGCGUUUUCUUGGUAAUUGUUCUUUAGUGGCAACAACUAAAAUCUUAAAGAAAAGAAAGCACAGGGAGAUUCCUGAAAGAAAAGACACAGGAAGUUGUUUCUAAAAAUGGAGCUGCUUUUCUGUUGCAAGGGGGGACAUAAUUGAUAGUCCCCAACUUUUUUUUUUACAGUUCUGAUGAACUGAGUUCAGUGCAGAAAGUAAGCCCCACUCUACAAGGACCAUGGGGCCAUUACCAAGUAGGGAAAAAUUGGCCAGAAUGGUUGUGAGGGCAAGAAGGGCCAGGGCUAAGUUGAUCUAGUGGUAUUAGGGCACACAAAGGAAUUUCUUGAUAACCGAUGCUCUUAUUUUCAAAAGUAGUGUGAGGUGGCAUAUAAUAAAAGACACAGGGAUGUUAAGGGAACGAAAUGAGGAACAGAAAGUUGAGCUUCCUGUAGAAAGGCUCUUUAUGAAUAGACCAUCCUGCUGUCAGUUACUGAGACAGUCGCCCCCACCUGGUCCCUCUGAUAACUCUGAAGAGAGCUCUUGAUUCUUCUCAGUGAACGACACCCAUUGUUCAUCCCAGAACAGGAAAGCCUUCUUUCUUUGCCUCCGCCACUUUAUUUUUAAUUCAAGGUACAAUUUAUAUGUGAAUCGUACAGUGAAAUAUACAGGUCGAAAGUAUAGCAUCUGAUGAGCUUUGACAAAUGGAUGCAUCCCUUUGACCCAGACCCCAAUGAAAGUAUAGAACAUUUCCAGAAAAUUCUGUUGUGCCUGCUGUCUCCUAAGAAAUAAAUUGUUGAUUUUAAAAAUAAUUCGUUUGUUUUCCUCGGUGCCCUGGCAAUGUUUCUGUGGCCUCCUUUGUCAGAUAACUGGGAAUCGAGACUGUAUGAAACCAUACUGCUUUCAGUGGCCUUGGCUAAUUGAAUGUUUAGUGAAUUUCUCGGUGUAAUUAUCACUGAUGAUAUUAAAUCAACUCUGCAAAUAAGGUGACAUGGUCAGAAUGCCUAGGUCUUCAAUAUAAAACCGUCAUUUCACUUUCUGUAGGAGAAUGUGUCCGUGUGUAUUAAAUAGAAUGGUCCCUAAUGCCAAAGGUGUUCCCUGGCUGUAGGGCAGGAAAUAUUGGGAGCUGCCUUUUUAUGACUCUCCUGCUGGUUAAGCAAAUUCUCAUAUCUCUCAAAGGAGUGAACUUAAUUUCAGGACGAAUAAGCACUGGGGAAAUAAAGUUUCACAUGGGUAAGCAGGCAGAAUUCUGUGUGUUUUUAUAGCUGGCUCUUGAAAAGUCUUUGAGCUGGAUAUAUCAUUCACACCACGGAGGAGACUGGUCACAUGACAGGCUUGCUGAAAGUUGCUCAACCAGGGUUUUGUUGAGAGGCUCCCAAAUGCUGGCCUCUGGUAGAACCUAUGUUGACUUUAUGGCAAGCAGUUAUUUAAUGUGCUUAGUCUUUGGGGACCAAAGCAAUAUGUAGACACUGCCUACAAAAUUCCACUCCUACCACCAGGCCUGUGAAAAUGCUUGUUAGGGAAAGAGAGAGAUGGAGAUUUAUCCUGCUUUUUAAAAUUAAAGAUGCCUUUCCUAUACUAGGGCCUCCUGAGAAACAUGAACUUUCUUUAACUGCAGUUUGUGCCAGCAGCAAAAGUACCAGCAGGGGAGCUGUUUAGCUGAAACUGGGUUGAGGCGCUAUAGUUUAUUUUAGAUUAAUGGGCUUCUCUGGUUUCAUUCCCAAAGUCCCUACCUGACGGAUGUUGACAUUUCUCCAGUCCUGGAACAAUUAUACCUGCCCUGGGUCUAUAGCAUGAUUCUACCUGCAGAUGUUGUCAUUCAUUUUUCUGGGGCCUACGAGUUGUUUUCUUAAGGAUAAAAGAUGUAGGAUCAAAGGAUGAUGGAGUCCCACUGGGAGACUGGUCUGACUAAAAUUUGUUGGUAUAUUUGUAGAAACCCCUUGCAUAACAUCAGGAGUACAUUCAUACUCAAAUCAUGCAGCUAAAAAAGACUUAACCCUGCUGAUGGAGUUUAGGAAGGAUGCAGUUAUGAAGCUUUGAGGAUGUGUUGGCAUUAUUCAUGAGGCACCAUGGUAUAGGAACGCAUACUGGACUGAGAGCUUGGAGGCCAGCAUUCUCGUCUCAACUUCACCGCUAAAUUGAUGAGUCACUUGCCAAGUAGGGGGAUUAGAAAGAGAUACACGCUGAAGUCUUCUUCAGCUAUAAAAUUUUAGGUAGUAUCAAAUCAGAUGCAGUUUUAUGGGAAUGAAAUUAAAAUUUCAAGAUUGGCAAUAAUGAUGACCUGAAACUCACAUAAAAAUUUCCAUCAGCAAAUCUUUAACAGAAUGUGACUUCUGCUUUUUGCAGUGAUGGAGUAGUUUAUACAGGCUGAUCAUUCUGCUUAGACACCAAAAAAAAACAAAAACAAAAACAAAAAAACAAAAAAAAAACCCUAGGUAAAAUAAAAACAAAAUAAAGCAAAUCCCCCUCAGGCGUUUGAAGGCCUUGGAGAGCAACAAUGAUUUUGAAGAAAAAAAUGCAUCAUGGUGAGCAAUGUUCCUAGCUACUUUUCUCCUUGAGGCAUUAACGCAUUUGUAAGAGGUGUGGGGCGAAGAAGCCAAGUAGAAGAGAACUCAAGCCUCUGUAGUCUCACCAGCUAUAGGAGACAAAGAGUGGUGUUCAUGUUUAUCAAGCUAGCUGGAACUUGAGGGUCUAACAUCUCAGAGAAAAGGGAACUCCAGUGAAGUGAUUCUAAAAUCCUACACAGGUUUUACGCUCAAAGCAUUUGCAAAAUCAUAAAAUACAUGAAGUGAAAGCAUACAUGAAAACAGGGAGCAGAGCUAGAAACUAAAAUGUUAAUUAAGCACAGUUUUUUAGUAAGUUCAUGAUGCUGGGGAGACCGAAUUUGAAUUUCAGGGCACUUCAAAGGAGGUUCCUGGUGAACCUGAGAGGCUUCGGAGGCUAUAUCCUAGGAGUAAGUAAAAAAUUAGAAAUAGAUCAGCCCUUACAGCAAACAGAAGCUCAGGCUUUAGUUGUCUUAAUUCUUGAUUGGAUCAUGGUGAUCUGGCCCCUAAACUACCUAUCAGAAGGAAAUAAAAUUUUCUCUGAGAAAAAUAACAUGAAUAACAUGAGACAGAUCUUUUGCAGUAUUUCAUUCACAAUGCCCAGCAUUCAUUUAAAAUUACCACAUUUACCAGGAGAUAGGGCAAAAUAAAUGUAAACUGAGAAGAAGAAAAGAAUAGUCAAGAGAAACAGGCCCAUAGGUGAUCCAUAUAUCAAAAUUGCUAGUCAUGGAAUUUAAAAUAAAUGUAAUUUUCUUUGGAAUAUUAAUGAAAAAUAUUCUAAAUCGUAGUGAUCAUUGUGCAACUAUAUGAAUAUAGUUCAUGUAACCCAUUGUAUUUUACAUUUUAAAUGGGUGAACUGUACUAUAUAAAGUUGGCCAAACAAAUCCUAAAAAAUAAUCCACCAGAAAAACUCAACAAUACUAAAUUUGUAUAACAUCAAAAUAUAUAGGGCAAAAAUUAACAAAGUGUUGAAAAGAAAUACAGAAAUUCACAAUCAUCGAGGCAGAUUACAACACAAUCCUCAGUAACUAAUUGAAUAAACAGAUAAACAAAAAGUAAAAAUAAAAAGUUGAUUUAUUAAUUGACCUAACGAUCACUGCAAUCAAUAAAUGCAAUGUCCACAUUUAGGUACAGAAUGAAAAUUAAGCAAAAUUGAUCAUAAGCUGCGUCAUAAAAGCAAGUCUCGACCAGUUUGAGAGGAUUAAAAUCUAGCAGGUUCUAUUCUCUGCCCAGGAUGGAAUUAAGCUGGAAAAAAAUUUAUUGAAAGCUAAUUAGAAAUCCUACUAGCUGUAAAAGAUGUAAAUCCUACUAGAUAAAAGAUGUAAAAACAAAUGUAAAUAACCAAUGGUUCAAAAACAUCACAAUGCAAAUUAGAAAAUAUUUUAAGCUCAAUGGAAAAGAAAAUAUUUUACAUCAAACCUUUUAGAAUGUAUGCAAAGCCUCAUUUACAGAAUUUAAAGCCAUAAUUGGAAAUCUUAGAAAUUAAGGAAGUGCUAAAAGUUAAUGACCCAAGUAUCUAGUUCAAGUAAUUAGAAAAAACAAAAUUAGAAAAGAAAGUAGAAAGAAGAAAAUAAUAAACAUAAGAAAAUUGAUAAAAUUAAUAAAGUAGAAAACCAAGACAUAAUAGAUGUGAUCAACAAUCAAAAGUUGGUUAUUUGGAAACAUUUUUACAGGUGGUAAAAUUCUGGGGCACCUGGGUGGCUCAGUUGAUUAAGCUUCUCACUCUUGAUUUUGGCUCAGGUCAUGAUUUCACGGUUUAUGAGAUCAAGUCCUGCAUUGGACUCUGUGCUGCAGCAUGGACCCUACUUGGGAUUCUCUCUCCCUCUCCUUCUGCUCCUUGUCUGCUCGCAUGCACAUGCACAAGCUCAUGCUCUCUCCCUCUCUCUCAAAAUAAAUAAGCUUUUUUUUUUUUUUUUAAUUUUUUUUUUCAACGUUUAUUUAUUUUUGGUACAGAGAGAGAUAGAGCAUGAACGGGGGAGGGGCAGAGAGAGAGUGGGACACAGAAUCGGAAACAGGCUCCAGGCUCCGAGCCAUCACCCCAGAGCCUGACGCGGGGCUCGAACUCACAGACCGCGAGAUCGUGACCUGGCUGAAGUCGGACGCUUAACCGACUGCGCCACCCAGGCGCCCCUAAGCAUUUUUUUUAAAGUGGUAAAAUUCUGACUUGAUGGAUUAAAAGAAAGUAGUGAGAAAUAAAAUCACAAUAUAAUGAAUGAGAAGCAUCAUCAUAGAUCCUAUAAACAACAAAGAGAUAAUAAAAGAAUUUUAUGAGCUACAUUAUUCCAAUGUAUUUUAAACCUUAUAUUGAAUGAACAGUUUUUUGUGUGAAAAACAAACUACCCAAAAUGACACAAGGGAUAGAUAAUUUGAAUAGGAUGAUGUUUAUUAAAGUAAUAAAAUUCAUAAUGUAAAAAAAUUCAGCAAAGAAAACUCAGAGACAAGUGGCUUUUCUGGCAAUUUUUUCCCCAAACAUUAAAGGAGAAAAAUAUCAGCCUUACUAACUGUGGAAAACAAGGAACAUUUUCCAGCUUGUUUUACAAGGCCAGCAAAACUCCGAUGGAAUUUUUGACAAGAAAGGGCCACUAUAAGUCAGUCUUUCUCAUGAUCAUUGGCAGAAAAACCCUAAACAAAACAUUUGAAAAGAAAGCCCAUCGAUGUAUAAAAUUUAUAGUAUCACAACCAUAUUGGGUUCAUAUCAGAAAAGUAGGGGUAAUCAACAUUUAAAAGAUCAAUCAAUUCAAACUCAUACAUUAACAAGACAAAGAAGAAAAUGAUAUGAUUAUCUCAGUAGAUGCAGAGAAAGCAUUGAUAAAAUCCAGUAUAUAUUCAUGAUUAAAAAAUUACUUUUUAGUGAUUUUGAGUGGAAGAGAACUUUUUCAAUGUAUGUAUAUAUAAACCUAUAUAUAUAACAAAGAAAAUACUUAAUGGUGAAAUGUUGAAAGUAGCACUGCUAAUAUUAGGAUGGAGGCUAGGAAGGUCAUUAUCAUGGUGAUAAUGUUGCUGCAGUAGGCAACGUGCAACAUGGCCCCUAGGAAUCUCAGAAUCCUGGUGUUCAUGCUUUUAUGUCAUCCUCUCCCCUUCAGUAAAGGCUGUAUUCACUUAUAAGAAAUUAAAUAUGGCAGAAGCAAUAAGAUGUUAUUCUGAGAUUCUUUAUUAAAAAAUUGUCACUUCUACUUACUCGCUCUCAUUGUCUUAAGUCACUCUCCAUGAGAGAAGCCAUCUGCCAUGACCUGACACAGACCUGUGAAGAUGCCCAAAGUGAGGGAGCUAGACCUGCUAACAUGUGAGCUGGGUUGGAAAUGAAUCACCUCCUCCAUACUUCUCCCUUUGAGUCUUCAAUUAAACCACAGCCUCUGCCUAGUGCUUUGACCACAGUUUCAUAAAACACCUUAAACCAGAGGCCCUCAGAUAAGUUUCAUCCACAUACAUGGCCUGUGAAAUAAUAUUUUUUGUUUGAAGCUACUAAGUGUAGAGGUAAUUUGUUAUGGAGUAAUAGAUAACUACUAUAACUACCAUUCAGCAUUAUCUUGUUGGCCUUAGAAUGCUCCAUAAGAAAAGAUAUUAUCAUUGAGUAUAUAGAAAAUAAGAUAAAUUUAUUAUACUUAGAGGUUACAAGAUCAAUAUACAAAAAUAAUUGUAUUAUAUUCAUAUAGAUAUAAAGUAUGUAUUAGCAAUAAACAAUUUAAAAAUAAAAUAUAAAACAUCAAAAAAGCACUGAUAAUAAAGAGAUUAAUAAAUUGAACCUCAUGAAUGUUAAGAAUUUCUAUUUAUCAAAAGAUAUCAUUAAAAGAUUGAAAGUCAGGCCAUAGGUUAGGAGAAUAUAUUUUAGAACAUAUGUUCAAAAAAAUAAACUUAUUCAGAAUAUAUUAAGAAUACAUACUAAUCAAAAGCAAAAAGAAUCCACCAUUUAAAAAUGGACAAAAUCCUGAAUUGGCAUUUCACAAAAAGAAGGAUAUCCAAAUAGCCAAUAAACAUAUGGGAAUUGCUCAACAUCAGUAGUCAUCAGAAAAAUACAAAGCAAAAGUCCAGUGAGAUACCAUUCAUUAUAUACCAAACAGAAAGGCCUAAAAAAAGAAAUUGUAACACUAAAUGUCAGUGACAGUAUGGAAAAAUUAGACUCUCAUCUAUCAUUAGUGACAGUGUAAAUUGAUACAAUCGCUUUAGGAAACUAUUGGCAGUGUCUGUCAAGGCUAUAUUUAUGCCUUCUUUCCCACAUAGCAAUUCAAUUUUUAAGUAUAUACCCCAAAAAGGCAUACAUAUGUGCAUCAAAGCACAUGUAAAAGAAUGUCCACAGAAGCAUUGUAAGUAAGUGAUACAAACUAAAAGCAAUACAUAGGAAUGGGUAAAUAAAUUGUGAUCUGUUUACACAAUGGAAUACUAUACAGUAAAGAAAAUGAGUAAUUCUUGCUAUAAGAAAUAACAGGAAUGAAUUUCAAAGUCAUUAUAUAGACUUAAACUAUUUAAAAAAGAGUACAUUACUGGUAUCCCAUUUUUAAAAGUGCAAAGCCAGCCCAAAUGAGUCUGCAGUGUUAGAAUUCACAAUAGUUGUAUUCUCUGGUUAGUAAUGACUUGGCCAGGGGAUGGGGGGGUGGGGUGCAGGGGACAGAUGUGAAGGAGGAUGCUAUAAUAUUCUUUUUUGUUUGUUUGUUUUUUUGUUCUGGGUGGUGGUUCUACAAGUGAGUUCAUUCUCUGAAAGCUCAUUGAGCUCUACUGAUUCAUGUUAUACUUCAGUAAAAUGUGGACUAAAAAAUUCUUCAAUGUCAUCCUUUUUCUUGUUGGGGUAAAUUCAUGAAGCCCAAGGCAGGGGCACCACACUCAGAAUGCACAGUGUCCAGCAGGUAAAAUGAAGACAGUAAGUACGCAUGGAGGGAAUUCUGGCAAAGUGGAGCCUGCCCACCAGCUCCGGCUAAAUGGCCAGUCACUGCAGCUUGGUCCACGGUGGACUUUUGGGAAUACAGGCCAGCCUGAUAUACCUCUCAGUUUUUCAAGGGACUUCAGAAAUUCACAUUUGUUUAUGAAAUCUUCUGACUUUUAAUGUUGGCAUCAAAUUAGAAUUCCUUUUUUUUUUUUAAUUUUCUUAAGUUCAUUUAUUUUUGAGAGAAACAGACAGAGCAUAAGCAGGGAAAGGUUAGAGAAGAGAAGGAGACACGGAAUCGGAAGCAGGCUCCAGGCCCAGAGCUGUCAGCCCAGAGUCCCACACGGGGCUCAAACUCCCAAGCCGCGAGAUCAUGACCUGAGCUGAAGUCGGACGCUUAUCCCACUGAACCACUCAGGCUCCCCAAAUUAGAAUUCUUUAAAACACUACAGAGAGAGAGAAGAGAAGAGGGGCUAGUACAAGGCUGUGGGGCCCUCUGACAUUUAUGCUACUCAUAGAAAAAAGAAGGGCCAAACAGAUGAUUUACAAGGAGCAGCCAGUAGAAUGAGAAAAAAACAAGGUAGGUGUAGACUCACAGAAGCCCACAGACACAAUAGGAGGAGAGAAAAUCCAAGUACAGUCUUGGGUCAGUGACCACUCUAUCAGAUGGAGCCCCCUACGCCUUUAACACUCCUGUAACACCGUAGCCUCCAGCCUCUUCCUCCGGCUAUGUCAUGCUGCUCUUUCCUUUGUUCAUGACAUUACAGGCACACUGGCCUUCCUCCAGAGUCCCAGGCAAACCCAGCAGGCUCUCACCACUAGGGCUUUGACCUUACUGUUGCUUCUACUUGGAAAACAUCCCUCCUGGCCUCUCACUUGGUUUGCUCCUCAUCCUAUAUUUGUCUCAACUUAAAUACCACUCCUCACAAAGGCCUUCCCGGUGGACUCCCUAAAGCAGACCCUACUCUAGGCCCUGUAUCAUUUCAGUCUGUUUAAUCUCCCUCAGCACUUACUUCAGUGAAGUUUCACUGUGUACAUUUUUGUUUGAUCUUUUAUCAUCUGUCCCUCAGGGAGAACAGAGCUCCAUGAGGGCAAGGAUGUUUUUGAUUGUGUCCAAUGCUGAUCCUAGCAUCUGGGGAAGUGUCUGUUUUGUUUGAAUAAGUAAAUAAGUUGGAGGAAGAAAGCUAAUUGAGUUCACAAUAGGAAACCUUGAUGGCAAUAUUAAAACAGUCAUAUAUCCUUAUUUGUCCUAUUUUAUUAGCCUGCUAGUCCUGCCAUAACAAAAUACCACAAUUUCUCACUCUUCUGUAACCUGGAAGUUUAAGAUCAAGGUGUCAACAGGUUUGAUUUUUUUUUUUUUUUCCUGAGGCCUCUUUCCUUGACCUGCAGAUGGCCGCCUUCUUGCUGUGCCCUCACAUGGCCUCUCCUCUGUGCUUGAGUAUCUCUGGUGUCUCUCCCUCUUCUUAUGAAAACAAGUCCAGUCCUAUUGGAAUAGGGCCCCGUCCUUAUGACCUAAUUUAAUCUUAAAGGUCCUUAAAAGACCCUCUCUCCAAAUACAGUUUCACUGGGGAAUUUGGAGGGGCAGGGCACAAUUGUGUUCAUAACACCUGUGUUUAUCUCUGGCAUGUCCACUCUCCCAUUGUGUGAGUCUGUGAUUCGAUUCCACAGUGUGACUGAGUGCCAUUUGUAUUCUCCUUGAAUCAGCUGAGGAGAGGGUGGGUAGAGCCCUUAUUUAGUUACAUAUAAAUGACUUUGUCUAGACUCAAGAGGACAGAAUCCAGAGGACAGAAAUGGGUAGUAUGCUCUUUUCUUUAAAAAAUAUUCUACCAGGAAACUUGGAUAUUUCCAUCAUCCACUCCAGAACAUUAGCUUUCUUCCUCCAGAGAUGUGGAAAUUCAAGCGUGAAAUUCUGUUAUUAAAGACCUCAUUGUUUCUCUUCAAAUAGCACAUAAGGCCUAGAAAUACAGUUUAAUUAUUUAAAGCGACCAUGUUAUAAGUAAUGAUUGACUACUACAUUGCUUAGGUAGGGAAAAAAAUCAUGUUGGCGCAUUUAAUUUUGUUGAGUAGUGAGCAGUGACUUCUUUUUGAUUAAUGGCUUCACAUUAAGUGCUUCUCAUUUUGCUCUCUGAAACAAUACAGAUUAGGUACAAUUAGAAUAACCUUCACCUUUCAACCUGGAGAGCUCUCCUGGUCUGCUUGUAUCUUCACUAUUUAACUGGAAAACUGCAUUAAACAAAGGAAUGACACUGAAAGAAACAAGACCACUGUGAUUUUCCCAGGGAUUCUUGGGUAAAAACAGAAAUGACUGAUGCGUUUUCCUCUUGCCCCCAUGCAAGGAUUGAUCAUUAAAUGGAGGUUCCCGGCAUUCCCUGAAGCUGCCUAUUAUAAUUAAUGUACCAGCCUUAUGGGACACCCAACCAUGUGCGGAGUACAACAAACUAACAGUGCCUAGGCUGGCUCUGGGGUGGAGAUUUUAAGCUGUGUUCCACUGGGGCUUCUCAGUGUGUUGUCUAGAAAGUGCGUUGAACCAAGUCUGAGACUCGCUGUGAAAAACGUGUUUUGUUUGUUUGUUUUUUAAGAAAAGCACUGAGUUGAUUUUUGCAGAAGCUUUUUCCUAUCAGACUAUUGAGUGAGAACACUUUGAUCCUAGCAAGUAAUAAAAACACGGGUGCUUCAAUUCCUGCUGACACACCGAUAUCCUCCCAAUUGGGGGAUCCCAAGCACCCUUGUGAGAUGAAGUUCAUCUGGUGUUUGGGGGCUUUCCUGCUGCAGUCUGACCUUUGUCAUACUUUGAACACAACCAGAUCUAAAAAAGGCAAUUUGUUGAGAAGCAGAAUGUAACUUUGCUCCUUUCGAGUUGGUUUUCAGCCGCCACACAGCUGUGGUCUUCUAUCGGAAGGUGGGGAUUUCUUCACAAACAGGACAAUCAGGAAGCCAGGCAGCAGAGUCUGUCCACAUAUGAGUAGAAUCCUCUGUGACCUUUACAGGCCAGGAUCUACCUGAACUGAGUCUGUUUUACCCCCAGGUCAGCCAUAACUUGAAGCUCAGUUUUUCAACCGUUUUCACAGAUACCCUCCUCAAAAACACUGGGGAGUCUACAGAAAACUCCGGAGGUUUUCUGCUUACCCUUUUUUCCUUCUACCCCAAGAAAGCAAUACAAAUUCCUUUUCUGGUCCUUUAUUCCCUUGUCAUUUCAUCGAGAACCAAAGGUAACAUCAGAAACAGGGUGAGGGUAGGUGGGCUUAUCAAAGAAUGUCUUCAAUACAGUACCUCUCUUUCCAAGAAUACUUCUGAUGAAUACAAUUUUGGCUGAUCCUGGGAUAAAUCUUUAUUCCCUUGGAGUCAUCUAAAAUUUGAAGGUAGCAGAGAAAUCAUGGGCCUUAGAAUGACACCUAUCUGGCUUCAAAUUUUAGGUUUCUGGCCUGUCAAAAUCUGCUGUCCUCUAUAACUCAGCGCAACCAAUAGUAAAAUGAUGUGUCAAUAAGGUAAGAUACAAAGCUCCCAGAAAAGGCUGGCAGUUUCCUUAUUUCUUUUCUCUUCUUUACAUCAUGUGUAGUACCUAGCUUAGCUCCCGGAGCCUGAGACAUGUUUACGUGUUUGAUAAGUUGAAACCAGUUUAAAGUAAGCUCUGGAAGAGGGACUUCUUUAUCCUGGAAGGACUUUGCAGGCCAGGAAGAGCAGUCUCUUAUGAGAAGAGAGCAAAUGUGAGUUUUACAUGGCUGUUUUAGCGUUGUUUUUUAGAAAUACAAUGUCUGCCGUGCUAGGUCCAGUUAUGAAUACAUAAGAAUCUGUUGCUUCUGAACGUAGGGCAGUAACCUUAGCAUCAUUAUUUUGCAGAGAGUGAAAUAUUUUGAAAAAAACAUCUGAGACCUGUUAAGAAACUGAAGAAUCUACAGCUGCUGGUGUGGGAAAGAGACAUAAAGAGGUAUAGUGAGAAAUUCACAUUAAGGUUAUUAUUUUGGGUCAGAAGAAAAUAAAAUACCUGUCUCACCUCAGUCCCUGCUCUAAGUAUGUUCUCUCUAGAGAAGCACGGCAUCCCCCAAAUUCCAUCCCACACUGGAGUAAGUUCUAUAGUUAACUCCUUCCCGCCUUCAUGUUUAAAAGCUUAUUGUAGAGUGCUCCCUAUUGUAAAAUCCAAUAAAAACAAAGGGCUUGUUUUCCAUCUAGGCUGUUUUCCUAACUGAGUUUCUCCCAAUGAGUUUAAUGAGCAUUGAUUCAAUUUAUAGGCGGUGCGAGUGCUUCAAUAGCCCCCAAGCCUAUAACACCACGAGAGGCAAAUACCCUUAUUCCAGGUGGUAAAGUGUAAAUGCAUCCUCUAUCCCACCUGUUUUCAUUUAAUCUUGGAUUGUUUGCCUCAUUUUGUUCUUCCCACAUGAAAUGGAAAUGCCUGGUGCUGCCGAGAGAAGCCAACCAAAUUGUAACAUUUCAACUUUUAAAUCUCUCCUGAGUCAGUUAGAGAAUAAAUUCAAAGUUCUUUUUUUCCCAUUUGGAAUUGGAUCUGGUCCUCCCACCCCCCCCAUCCCAUGAUAGGGGAACAUACACCGCAUUUUGCAUUUUAAAGUUUCUGACCUCUUCUUUGUCUAGGAAAAGGCAAUGUAGAAGAUUAUUUAUAUGAUAAUUUUUCUUUCCUCAAGCUUUUCCAACUCUAGCCUAAAGAUUGUCCUUCCACUUCCCCUCCUCCCCCACCCCAAUCCAUACCAAGAAUUUCAAAAGGAAACAGUGAGAUGAAGAAAAAUGGUGGUGGAAACUUAGAAAUAGAACCCAGAGUCUCCCGAGGACUCUGGGUUUCCCUGGCCCUGCCAAUCUAGUCCCUUUUCUAUUGAGCAGACAGAUCUUUUCAAGGAAAUGAGCCAGACUUCCCUAUCCAAAAGACACUUCUGAUACAGUCCCAGCAUUGACAGAUGUGGAUCAGAUAGGAGGAAGAAAGGGAAAAGAACAAUUUGUAAAAGCGAAUGAGGAAGGAAAAAGCGGGUGGACAGCUAUUCAGCUUUUCUUUUCCCAGUUUUUUCCCCCAGAAGUCUUUUUCACACGGUCUGCUGGGAGGUAGUUUUAAUUUUUCCCACUUAAUACUAUUUCCAUUAUAUGGUGAAAUGUUAACUUUAGAAGAAUUGAGUAACUUGCCCCAAAUCACAUGCUCAUUAGGUGGUAGAUGGAUUUCAAUCUGAGUCUGCUGUUUCCAUGACAAUCUCCUCUUUUUUGGGUAGAAUGAAGAAAGGAUGAAAAGAUAAAGGAGAAAAAGGACUCUGAAGAACAAUAUAGUGCUAUCAGAUAAUUACUUAUAUUUGAGAUAUUUAAUACUUUAAAAAAUGUGUGUGUAUGUAUAGGAUCAAAAAAUUGGAAAAUCCUGUAAGAUAUAAAAGAAGAAAUAGAAAUGAUCUCUCAUCUCAGUACCUACAAACACUGUUAAUUUCUGGUACAUUUCCUUCCAGGGCUUAAAAUUUUCUUUGGUAUUUGCCAUAUGUUUAUAUAUACCUCGAAGUCAUCUAUUUUUAAUCUGCUUUCUUCACUUAAUAUAUUAUGAACAUUUUCUUUGUCUACAUAUACUCUUCUAUAAUAUGAUUUUAAAUAACUGAGUAGUUUAUUCAAUUAAAAAAAAAGGCUUCAUUGAACAUGUCCUAUAUGUCCCAGGCACCAUAAUAGGAAAUAGGGAUUCACAAUAAAUGCGUCAAUGAAUAAAGCAAACGUUAUCCUGGACCUCAGAAAGUUGAUAAGAGGAGGCAGAUAAUAAACAAUGAACAAAUAAACAAGGCAAAUACAGAAUGUGAUUUACAAAGCAUGAUGAAGAAAAUGCAUAUAAGAAUAUAAUAAAAAUAACUAUUUUGGUUAGGAAAAUCAGAGAGCAUUUGUGAAGCUGUGAUAUUGGAGUUGAGAAUUAAAGAACAAAAAGGAAGUUUAAAAAAUAAACUAAGAAAUUACAUUUCAAGCAAAGGAACAGCAGUCCACAGGGCCCAGCAAGUAAAAAGACUUUGGACAGGAGAGAUCUUGCUCUGCUCAAAAAGAAAGUCUGUGCUGCUGGAAUAAUCAUGGGAGGAAAGGAGAGCUGAAAGUUGUAAUCAAGGAGGAGAGCAUAUGGGGUCUUGCAGCCCCAGAGUUUGGAUUUUAUUCAAAGCACAACUGAGAAGCAAUGCAGCAUUGCCCAGCAAGGAUAGCCCUGAUUUGAUGAAGGUUUAAUAGGCAUGAAUUUCUCAGUCACAGACUCAGGCAUGUAAAAAAAGAAUUUAUUUCUUAACCCAGUUUAAUUUCUGACUUUUAGCCUCAAGCUUGCCCGGCAGCAAUCAAAUCUAUCCAUUUGCAGGUUUCUCUCAGUUCAAUCCAGUGAUUUUCUAGUAAAUCCUCAAGUAUAAUCACAUUCUACCCUUCAUCUCCUUUUUCUAGGAAGAAGAGGGUAUGGACAUGUGUUAAGAUGUGUGUGUGUGCGCACGUGUGUGCGUGUGUGUAUGUGUGUGUGCUCAAGCGUGUGCAUAUGCAUGGGUGUGUGUGAUGGCAUGUGAUAGUGGUGGUGAUGUGGGAAACAAAGGCAACUGGAAAAUUAAAUUUCCUUACAAUUUAUAGCCCAUUGACAAGUCCUUGUGACAGAAAGUGACAUUCUUCCUGGGGCCCAACUGUUAACGCUUUGCUAGAGGAAAAACAAGUGGUUAACUGAUAGAGAUCACAGUCCUGCAAGACCUCACUCUAUCAGUUUGCAACUGUCUUGAUGAUUUAUAAGAAAAAAGCAAUUUUUGUGUUUUUUUAUUAUUAUAAUUUUUUUUUAAUCAAUAGCUAGGCCUCCAGGGUCCUGUGAGUCUUCUUUAGCAUAUAAAAGUCCUUUUGGAAACUUCCCCUUGCCUUCACCUCCCCCAACUCCCAAGUAUAUCAUUAGUCACUCCUCACAGCCCCAGUGCAGCUCUUUCUGUCCAUGGGUCCUGUCCCCUGCUUUAACAAAACCACCUUUUUGCACUAAAGAUGUCUUAAGAAUUCUUUCCUGGCCGUUGGCUCUGAACCCCUACAUUUUCCACAUCAGUGGAUUAUUGCUUCUUUGCUGGCCUUCGCUGCUGAUAUAACUGGUCCAGUCCUCAGGCACAUUUCCCAUCCAUGUGGAUAUCUGUGAAUUGUCCAGUUGUUAACCAAUGCUCCCAUUAAUAUUAUCAGCGUAAAAUUUCAACUUUGAAAGUCUUCUCUUAUAGAAAGUAUAUUUUUGUGAUUUAAAUUACUUUCCUUUGACAUGCUUAUUUCCACUUUAAUACCACACCUUUAAUUAUUGUCUCAUAUAUGUUUCAUAUUUAGCUGGGAAGUUUCUUUUCAGUAUUCCUUGUUUAUUCAAAAUAUCCUUGGCAAGUAUCAUCCCUAUAUUUUUAAAAAUGAAUUUUUAUCAUUAAUCUGCCACGUUUUUGUUUUUUUGUUUUUUAAUUUUUUUUUUCAACGUUUAUUUAUUUUUGGGACAGAGAGAGACAGAGCAUGAACGGGGGAGGGGCAGAGAGAGAGGGAGACACAGAAUCGGAAACAGGCUCCAGGCUCUGAGCCAUCAGCCCAGAGCCCGACGCGGGGCUCGAACUCACGGACCGCGAGAUCGUGACCUGGCUGAAGUCGGACGCUCAACCGACUGCGCCACCCAGGCGCCCCAUAAUCUGCCACGUUUUUAAUAAGCAAACACCUUGAGUUUUUUUUACAAACUUUGUAUUAAUUUUUACAUUUACUUGGCAAGAAUUUAUUUUCAUUCCAUGUGCAUAACAACCUAUUUUUUCUUAUAAAAUUAUUUUGUAAUAUUUUUUUCUAUGGGGCAUAGUCCUAGAUAUUAAAUGUCUUGUUUUCUGUUGUGAAAGUAUUCAUUUUUCCACCAUGGCUAUUGGUUUCUACAUAUUUACUUUGUCUCUGGACAUUAGUUCCGUAGGAUUUUCUAGCUGAUUUCUCUUCAUUUUUCUAGUCAAAUGAUAGUACCUACAAAUAAUAAUUGUAACCUCUUUUGCAAUUGUUGAACAUCUUAUUUAUACUUCUUGUUUUAUGUUACUGAUUAAAUCUUUCAGAACAAGGUUUAGGGGCGCCUGGGUGGCUCAGUCGGUUGAGCGGCCGACUUCGGCUCAGGUCACGAUCUCGCACUCUGUGAGUUCGAGCCCCGCAUCGGGCUCUGUGCUGACAGCUCAGAGCCUGGAGCCUGUUUCGGAUUCUGUGUCUCCCUCUCUCUCUGACCCUCCCCCGUUCAUGCUCUGUCUCUCCCUGUCUCAAAAAUAAAUAAACGUUAAAAAAAUAAAACAACAACAACAAAAAAAACCCACAAGGUUUAAGAAAAGUUAGUGGCGGGGCACCUGGGUGACUCUGUCGGUUGAGCAUCCAACUUCGGCUCAGGUCAUGGUCUCACAGUUUGUGAGUUCGAGCCCGGCAUCAGGCUCUGUGCUGACAGCCUGUUGGUGCAGAGUCUGCUUCAGAUCCGCUGUCCCCCUCUUUCUGCCCCUCCCCCACUUGCACUCUCCCAAAAAAUAAAUAAAUAUUUUUAAAAAAAAGGAAAGAAAGAAAAGUUAGUGGCAAUAGUCCAAAUUUUUGUCUUUUUCCUUAUUUUAAUGGAAAUGUUUCUUGCAUUUUAUUCUCUUUGUCUAAGUUUAUUUAUUUAUUUUGAGAGAGAGAGAGAACAGGAGAAGAGCAGAGAGAGAGGGAGACAAUCCCAAGCAGGCUCUGCACCACCAGCAUGGAGCUCGAUGUGGGGCUCGAACUAAUGAACAAUGAGAUCAUGACCCGAGCCAAAAUCAGGAGUUGGUUACUUAACUGACUCAGCCACCCAGGUGCCCCCCUCUUGCAUUUUAUUCUUAUACUGUAAACUAGCCUUAGAUUAUCUUUUAACUGUGUAAAUGUUCCUUCUGUUUGUAGUUCGACAUUUUCUGUAUAAUGUAUUCAUAGUCACUGAAUGCCUUUUCAACUUAUUACAUAGUUUUUCAUUUGAUGUGAUAAAUUAUAUCAUUAUAUUUUUUACUGAGAGAUCACAAUACAAGAUUUUUACUUUAUGUCCUACUUGCUCUUGACAUAUCACUUUUUAAUAAACGACUGAAUUUGUCUAUUAUUCAAGAGCUUAGAAAUGAUAUCAAUAAGUUUUAUAUUUUUAUAUUCUAACUUUAUUGAAAUGUAGCAUUUAUAUGAAAAAAUUCACGCAUAUAUUUAUUGUGAAACAAUCACAUGAAAUUUGUUUUUAUUUUAUGUUUUACUUUAUUUUAAAAUGUUAUGUGUUGGUCUUGUCUGUUAGAUUAUAGUCUCUGGAUUAGGCUCAUUAUAUAAAAUGAGCUGUGAAGCUUUCCAUCAUUUUCAGUGAUGGAAAAAGUUUGUAUGAUAUGAAAAUUUUCUGUUGCCUAAUACUUUGAAAUAACUAAUCUAUAAAACCAGCCUGAGCCUACAUCUUUUUUUAUGAAGCUUAUUCUUUGGAACAUUUUCCAUUUCUUCCAUGGCUAUUGUUCCAUAUUUCAUCUGUGUACAAUUUUAUACUAUUUUGUGUAGGAAUUGUUAAUAUAUUUUAUUUUCUUAUUCUUUGAAAGCAAUAUCCAUUUCUCUGGUUAUAUUUUUAAAGUUGAUUUUGUGAAUUUAUGCUUUUCAAUUUCUUUUUGAGAUUACAUUUGCCAGAAAAAUUCAUUGUUUUUCUCGAGAACUUGUUCUUUGAUUUAUGCAAUCUAUUUCUUUCAGUGUAAUUAUUUAUUUUCUGCUUUUGGCUUUAUUAAUUCCUUCCAUUUUAUUAAGUUUAUUUUAUUGUUCUUCAUUAUUAAUUCCCUCCAUUUUAUUAAGUUUAUUUUAUUGUUCUUCAUAUAAUUUCUUGAGUUAAAUUCUUUACUCAUUUGUGUUAUUUUUCUUGUUUAAUAAUGAAAGCAUUUAUAACAAUGAAAUAACUCUGAGAACAUGCAGUGUGUUCUUAUAUGAGUUGUCUGAUUUUUUAUCCUCUUAAAAUCUUGCAAUUGUUCUCUGAAUUAGAGUUCAGGAACCUUGAAGUGUCUAAAUUGGGUUUUAGUGGUCUUUAAACUUAAAAAUAAAAGGUAGAAGCUUACUUCUCUUCCACAUAUUAAGAGUUCCAAGAUGGUCCAUAGCCAGUAAGAUGGUUCUUCACAUGGUUGUCCAAGGUCCCAAGAUUCUUCAAAGGAUUUGCACCAACAUCUUAGCAGAGAGAGAGAGAGAGAGAGAGAGAGAGAGAGAGAGAGAAACACUUUCAGAAAUAUGACUCCAAAGUUCAUCUGAAUUAUAAUUGUUUGUAGUAAAACACUUUGCCCAGGGUAUUUGUUUUAAUUCAUUCUUGUGCACCCAUGUGCAGACACAUAUCAACAGGUAAUUCAAGAAUUACGUGAAUUGGCAUUAGAACAUGAAUUCUUUGCCAAAUUAUAUGGCUACUGAAAAAUAUUGUGCAGUUCAGUUGUGAACUGGAGGCUUCAGUGCUGAACUGUAAGAUAUUUGAGGCCUGUCACAAACACUGCCAAGGAGACAAGAGCUCUUUAAGAGGGACCCUGGAGUGUCUUCCUGAGGUCAACCCACAGAAUGGAGUGGGACCAGCACCGAGUUUUCACUAGCCUAGCGAUGUUAGCAUGGAGGAAAAUAAGGACCACACUGAUAAGUUCGUAUAAACUAAUAUAUAUUUAUUAGAAGGGAGGAACUUAGGGGAGCCUGGGUGGCUCAGUUGGUUGAGCAUCGGACUCUUGGUUUCAGCUUGGGUCAUGAUCUCGCGGUUUCGUACGUUUGAGCCCUGCGUGGGGCUCUGCACAGACAGUGCUAUGGAGACUGCUUGGGAUUCUCUCUCUCUCUCCCUCUUUCUCUGCCCCUCCUCCACUUGUGUUGUCUCUGUCUCUCUCAAAAUAAACAAACUUAAAUUUUUUUAAAGGAGGGAAGAAUGCAAAUGUCCCUUGUUUUUACAACAGUGGCACUGAUGAGUGCUAUUUGUUUGUAGGCUGUUUUUUCUAAAUGUCUUCACUCAGUAAAAUUAGAAGUUUGCAAAUCUUGUGUUGGGUCACCCAUUUUUUAAUUGUUAGUUUUACCUCUCUUUCAUUCCUAAAGCCUGGUAGUCUUAGUAUAAGGGACAUGAUGGUUUUCAAUGUUCAGAUUUGUCAGCCCUUGUUCUGUGUCAUCCAUCCACAAAUGUCUCUUGCAUGUCAUUGAACCCAUUUUUCCCCUCUGACGACAUCUCUUCAAAGAAAUAAUAGCUGCCUCUGGCUUCAUCAAAGGUCCUAUGCAAAUGGAAUACAGGCUCCUCCCAUCUCCUCUGAGCUUGUCCUAGACUGGAGGGCCAUGAAUCCUUGUGCUGCUCCCCUUCCAUGUGCCUGAGAAAUUGACCUAGGACCAGCACUUGCAUCAAUGACAAGAGGUCAGAGGGAAGGGAAAAUACUUAGGAUACAGCUUGUAAAAAUACAAGACAAUUGAAAUAUUACACAAAAUACCUGAGAAAAUUUUUUUCUUUAGAUGUAAAAGCAUGUAUCUUUCCAUUAGAAAGUAAGAUUACUCUCUCUCCUAUUUUAUGACAGCUGCAACAUCUUGGGCAUAUAUGCAGUGAUGGCAGUGAUCCAGGUUUCUGCUCUCCACUCAUAACUCCCAUGAUAUUCUUCUUAUCUUAAGGAGUUAUUUGAUUUCUAACUUUGCAAUAAUAGGCCACAUCCACCCUUUUUAAUUACUGGGUUUUAAAAUAUUUGAUAACUAAGUCCUGGUUUCUGGAUAGUAUGGAAUAAGAAGUCUUUACUCUUGUACUUGUUUUCCUUUUUAAAUCUAUUUAUAUUCACUUUCUUCCUAAAGGUAAGAAAUCAAGUUAUGCCAUAAAGAGCAAGUUAAAUUGUAUUUUUCAUUGUCAUAAAAGGUAACGGUACUGAAUUAUGAGUAUCACACUCACUAAUCUCAAAGUAUUUCAAAAUGGCGGAAUGAUGAGUAUCAUAUUGGCAUCUUGGGAUGUCUGUGGGGGAGAGGGAAAGAGAGAGGAAGAGAGAAUCUAGGGAGAUAAUUCUUUAGUCAUUUUCUGGAUUCCUUUUUUUUUUUUUUUUUGGGUCCAAAAAACCCACACCUAAAUUAUUAUGUCUCUGCUUAGUUUGUAUGUAUGCAUGUAUACAUAAAGCAUUGUACAUAUGUGUCAGGCUUAUUUCAUGCAGGAUGACACUAACAAGGUGAUUUUUGUAGGCAGGGUGCAGUUGGUGGGUGGAAGGAAAGUAGGAGAGGAAGUGUCACAGAAAGGGCUUGUAUGUACCUGCACUCGCCAUCCCCACGUGAUGGCCUCAGUGCUGGGAGAAGGGAGCUUACGUGCCUAUAAAGGGAAUCCAUGCAUAAACAUCCUGAGGCCCUAUGAAAGGCAGGGUGGUAGAGUCUGUUUAGAGUAAAUGAUUUCUCCUGCUUCCUGUGGUCCAGAAGUGGAAGAAAAUAAUCCUUUACAAGAGUCCUCAUCCCUUCUGGGAAACAGUGUUUCCGGUCUGAUCAAGAGAUGAACAGCUUUGAGGACAGAAGCAUAGAGAAGAUGGGCGGAUCCGUUCUUGUGUUGGAAUUUUUGGCAGAGACUACUAAUUAGCGCCCAAAGGCAUUCUUCUCUGUGGCAGAUUGUAUCAUUGCUCUAAAUACUUUCCGUCCCUCCAUCUCAGUUUGGAUUCCCAGAAGGAGACCCUGAAGCAAAAACUCAAGUGCAAGUAGUUUAUUUGGGAAGUGAUCAUAGGAAAUACUAACAUGGAAAUGAAAAUCAAGACAAAAAAUGGACAGAUGCCAAACAAAGGGCAUGUUAUGAAGCAAGUUACUGCUGAGAGCAACUGGAGCUUGAUUUUAUCCCAGUAGAGACCAUGAACUUCAGAGUUGCCCUGAGGGAUGAGAGACCUGGGAUGUUUACUGGAUGAGGUUGCCCAUGGGAGCCGGUGGGAGGAGGCUUUAAUUGCUCAGCAUUAUGGGCCUGUUCUAGACAGGGACAAGGAAGAAUCCAUGCUAGCAACUGGAUGUAAGGCUGAUUUGUACUGAAAUAGCAAGCACUAAGCAAAUAUUCAUAGCGGGCUCACUGUAUCCACUUUACCCUCCUGACUACUUAAUUCAGAAUUAUUUUAUAUGGAAAAGAAGCACAAACUUUAAUCUCUUUAAGGCCACUGGAAUUUUUUAUUUCUAUUACUAAUAUCUGAAUGCGAAUUGAAGCUGAUUUAAUGUAGUCAUAAGACUCAGAGGGGAGUUGGCUCUAGAAAAUGUCCAAGACUUUGGUGAGCAUGGGCAGAGUUUGAUCGGUGUGCAUUCCUCUGGGAAGGCCUAGAUUGAGGCACCAGGUUGAGAUGAGGAGUAUGUACCUCCAUGCCAGGGGAUGCUGCACAGUGGUUUGUGGAUGGGCUAGCAGGAAGGGCCGGGACAGUAAGCGGCUGGCUUAGCUGAUGGUGGCCUGAAACAUCAGCCCUUAGUUCUCCUUAGGCUUGCCUAGGAAUGUCACACAGUACAGCUCUGGUAGGAGUUUGUAUUGUCUGCCAAUCACUAUGAGUGAUCCUUCAGGACGAAGGGGUUAUUCUUCUCAUUAUUUGUAUAGUAAUUCCUCUUGUAAUUAUUUGUGGCAAAAUGUGAGAUGAGGACUCACUUUUUUCAUUAUCUACCUCUUCCUCUUGGUAUUUUACUGUACUUAUGGAGUCAUCUUGAGCACAUUCUACAGAAUUCUGAUGAAAAGCAUGCAAUUCCAUGACAUGGAGAACUUGGUGAUAAUUAGCUUUAUGUUUCUGACAAACAAAGGAGUGCUUGUUCAGCACAGAGAUGGGGCCGAUUUAGGGCAAGUAUGGAUUCCUUUAUCAAUACUGAAGUUCACUUUCCCCUUAGUGAACACAUCCUGUAGCUACUGGCCUCACAGGACUGUGAAAGCAUUAACAAAACCAUUGAAACAUAAAAUAGGCCUUCUUUUUCCAGGGUCCAUUAAUUAUUUGCAAAGAAUUACCAUGUCUGGUUAGUAAAGAAAACCUCAAUAAAUUCCAAAUGUGUGUGUGUGUGUGUGUGUGUGUGUGUGUGUGUGUGUUGUCAUGGAAAAAAAGUGAGAACGUUACUUCACUAGAUUCACAAGUCACUAGACUUCAGCAAAUAUAAAGCAUUGAUUUGUUUAGAUUCAGAUUCAAACAAACCAACUAUAAAAAAAAAGGUUUUUGAGAGAGUUGGUCAAACUAGUUAUGGACUAAGAUUUAUAUGAUGCCAAAGAAUUAUUGUUCAUUUUGUUAGAGUGAUAAUCACAGCACUGAUUCUUCCUUCCAAACUUACGAGUUUCUAAUAAAAUAAAAUUUGUUGAGUGGGAGGCAGAGGAUUUGGCUACUGUGGAAAACCUGUCGCAGCCUGGCCCUGCCACUUCUCCAGCACCAUCUGUAACCAUCAUAACAAUAUGUGUUCCAGCCAGGCUGCUAUCCUCGAAAUUACUCAAACACACUCUCCUUUUCCAGAAUUCAGUAUCUUUGCAAAAGCCAUUCCCAGGAGUUUGCCUGAAACCCCCUAACCCUGACAAAACUAUCCUGUAAGACUCAGCUCAAAAAUUGCCUUCCUAUGUUCUUUCCUCAGCAGAUGUGGCACAUAAGUCCUUGUGUUCCCACAUUUUUCAAGCACUUACGCCAUUAGACAGUAUCUAUUUCUUGGAACAUCUGUCUUUUCCUGGUGUGCCCUGUAUAUGCUUCCAUCCUGUCACCUCAGUCUGUCCAUUUCCUUCAGAAGUGAGGAGUCUCCAUUUUCUUACCUCUCCUUACUUUACUCCACACCCUAUUUCAUUAUUGCUUCCCCACCCACCUCUUCAGUGAACUGAUUAACAGUUCCAACCUUGUCUAAGGAAAUCACAAUUAUGGGCCAUAGGACUUCAUCUUGCUAACAACCGUGUAAUGAGCUAUGAGGAUGCACUUGAGAAUGUUCAUCCUGAGGUUCAUAAGAAAGUCAUAUUUACUCACCAUUUUCCAUUCCCCACUGGUCGAGGGUUGCUCCAUCGGCUGUUAACAACCUUGUACUUCUAUGCUUCCAUGAGUGGAAGACUUGUUGAGUGGAUCCUUGCAGGUGCCCUUCUUGCUGAUGGCAGCAAAUCCCCACAGCAAAAAUUUCCAGUUACUUGUUAUAGCUGUGACAAGAUACUUUCAGAUUACAUUUGAGCUCAGCUGGUUGCUCCAAAAAUGACAAGGUUAAGAGUGGAAGUCCUAGCCUCAGCAAUCAGACAACAAGAAGAAAUAAAAGGCAUCCAAAUCAACAAAGGAAGAAGUCAAACUCUCACUCUUUGCGGAUGACAAGAUACUCUAUAUAGAAAAACUUUCACUGUUUGCGGAUGUCAGGAUACUCUAUAUAGAAAACCUAAAAGACUCCACCAAAAAAUUGCUGAAACUGAUACAUGAAUUCAGUAAAGUCACAGGAUACAAAAUCAACAUACAGAAAUCUGUUGCAUUGCUACACACAAAUAAUGAAGCAGCAGAGAGAGAAAUCAAGGAAUCAAUCCCAUUUACAAUUGCACCAAAAACUAUAAGAUACCUGGGAAUAAAACUAACCAAAGAGGUAAAAGAUCUGUACUCUUAAAACUAUAAAACACUGAUGAAAGGAACUGAAGAUGACACAAAGAAAUGGAAAAAUGUUCCAUGCUCAUAGACAGGAAGAACAAAUAUUGGUAAAAUGUCUCAGUAAUCUACACAUUUACUGCAAUCUCUAUCAAAAUACCACCAGCAUUUUUCACAAAACUAGAACAAAUAAUCUGUGUAUGGAAUCACAGAAGACCCCAAAUAGCCAAGGCAAUCUUGAAAAAGAAAAGCAAAGUGGGGUGCAUCGCAAUUCUGGACUUCAAGUUUUAUUACAAAGUUGUAAUUACCAAGACAGUAUGGUACUGGCACAAAAACAGACACAUAGAUCAAUGGAACAGAAUAGAAAACCCAGAAAUGGAUCUGCAAAUAUAUGUAAACUAAUCUUUGACAAAGCAGGAAAGAAUAUCCCAUGGAAAAAAGAUAGUCUCUUCAAAAAUUGGUGUUGAGAAAACUAGAUAUCAACAUGUAAAAGAAUGAAAUUGGACCACUUUCUUACACCAUACACAAAAAUAAAUUCAAAAUGGGUGAAAGACCUAAUGUGAGACAGGACCCCAUAAAAAUCUUAGAGAACACAGGCAGUAACCGCUUUGACAUCAGCCAUAGCAAAUUCUUACUAGAUAUGUCUUCUGACACAUCUAGGAAUCAAAGCAUAAAUAAACUAUUGGGAAACAAAAGCAAAAAACAAAAAACAAACAAACAAAACACAAAAAACUGUUGGGACUUCAUCACUAUAAAAAGCUUUUGCGCAAUAAAGGAUACAAUCAACCAAACUAAAAGACAGCCUACAUAAUGGGAGAAGAUAUUUUCAAAUGACAUAUCAGAUAAAGGGUUAGUAUCCAAAAUCUAUAAAGAACUUAUCAAACUAACAUCCCCAAAACAAAUAAUCCAGUUAAAAAUGGGCAGAAGACAUGAAUGGACAUUUUUCCAAAGAAGACAUCCAGAUGGCUAACAGACACAUGAAAAGAUGCUCAACAUCACUCAUCAUCAGGGAAAUACAAAGCAAAACUACAAUGAGAUAGCACCUCAUACCACUCAGAAUGGCUAAAAUUAACAACACAGGAAAUGACAGGUGUUGGUGAGGAUGCCAAGAUAGGGGAAGUCUCUUACACUGUUGGUGGGAAUGCAAACUUGUGCAGCUACUCUGGAGAACAGUAUGGAAGUUCCUCAAAAAGUUAAAAAUAGAACUACCCUAUGCUACAGCAACUGUACUACUAGGUAUUUACCCAAAGGACACAAAAAUCCUAAUUUGAAUGGCUACAUGCACCCCGAUGUUAAUAGCAGCAUUAUCAGCAAUAGCCAAAUUAUAGAAAGAUGGGUUAAGCAGGUGAUGGGGAUUAAGGAGGGCACUUGUGAUGAACACUGGGUGUUGUAUGUAAAUGAUGAAUCACUACAUUCUACACCUGAAACUAAUAUUACACUGUGUGUUAACUGGAAUUUAAAUGAAAACUUGAAAAAGAAAAAAACAAAAACAAAAAAAUGAAAUAAUAAAAUAAAUGUCUGCAGAAUUAUAAAAGGAAGGAAGGAAAGAAGGAAGGAAGGGAGGGAGGAAGGGAGGAAGGAAGGAAGGAAGGAAGGAAGGAAGGAAGGAAGGAAGGAAAUCAAUAGGGCACAAGAAAUGUUCAUUUUUUUCCUGGAUCCUUGUACCCUACUAGUCACUUACAUAUUGGUGUUCCUCAAGGCUAGUCCUCAAUCAAAUGCUACAUAUUCAUUCAUCCUUUCAUCCAUUCAGGAAAUAUAUAUUGCAAACCUAUUAUUUUCUAGGCAGUUGAGAUUCAUUAAUAGACAUCAUAUAAAGGUACCUGCAUUUAUGGGCUCAGCAUUAUGGUAUUACAUAAUAAAUAAGUAAAUUAGCAUAUUAGAAAUAUUAUGCAAAAAAAAUUAAAAGAAGAUUGGAGAAAUCAGGAGUUUUGGGAACAGGGGUGGGUUUGCCAGGGGAGACUACAUUAAGGAAGUGACAUUUUAAUAAAGUCUUAAAGGAGGUGAGUGCAUUCUCUAUAUGAACAUCUGGAGGAGAUUUCCUGACAGAGGGAAGAGCUGGUUCAAAGGCCCUGAGGCAGCAGCAUGACUAGCUACCAUGUUUGAAGGCUAGUGAGGAGGCCAGUGCAGUUGGUCAUGCUGAGCGUGGAGAGGGUGGUAGGAGACAAGAGCAGAAAUGUAUCAGGGACUGGAUAAUGUAGAGCAUGGGAAGCCGUUGUAAGAACUUUGGAUUUUACUUAGGGUGAAAUGGGAGUCAGUGUAAGGUUUUCUAAAAAGGAGUGACAUGACCUGACUUACAAAGACAUCAUCUGGCUGCUGUGUUGCAAAUAGGCUGCCAGGAACCACAUGCAGCGGCAAGUUAACCAGAGAGGAAGCUGUGGUAGGCAGGCUACUGAGAGAGCCCCCAGUGAUUCCCAACUUCUGGAAUUCACAUUUUUCAUGGGAUAUCCUACCCUUGAAUGUGGGCUGGACCUAAUGAACAGACUAUGGCAAAUAACGGAUGCCACUUCCCGGAUUAGGUAAUAAAUUCCUCUCACUUGCCCCGAUGAAGCAAGCUGGCAUAUUGUGAGCCACCCUACAGAGAGGUUCACGUGACAAAGAACUGCAGGAGGUCUCUGCUCAGGAGCCACUGAGGAGCUGAGGCCCUCAGUCCUGUCGUCAAUCCACAGGAAAUGGAUCCUGCCUGCAACCUCAUGCAUGAGCUAAGAAGUAGAUCCUUCCACCUUUGUGCCUGCUAGGUAACUCCAACUGAAACUUGGAGCCUGUGAGAGACUGCAGAGUAGAGAUGUCAGCCAAGCCACCCCUGGAUUCCUAACCUACGGGAACCGUGAGGUAAUCAGUGUUGCUGUUUCAAGCCACUAAGGUUUGGGGGAAUUUGUUAUACAGCAAUAGAUAACCAUAUGGCUGUUAUUGCUGUAUUCCGAGUAAGAGGGGAUCAUGGUUUGGAAUAGGGUGCUAGCGGUGGAAGUGGUAAGAAGCAGUCAGCUUUGGCUUCGAAGGAAGAGUCAGGAGGAUGUAGGAAAUGAGAAAGAGAAAUGGGCCAAGAGUGAUGUGCAAAGGGCUCAAGUGACAUGAGUGACAGAAGGUCGUCAGGUGAACAGGUUCUCUGUUCCUAGGUUGUCUAUGAAGGGGUAUUCUUGGGCCAAGAAGCAGAUGGAUUAGCUUAAAGAGAAGGGACCUACUCUCUUCUUGUCCUCCCUUUUACAGGAGGGGGAGGGAGAGAGCAGUCUUACCAGUAAGGAUAAACAGAUCUCUGAAGUGUCAAGCCGGCUAGGUCUAGGUCGUAGGUAUUUACAAAAAAUUGCUACAAAGGCCAACUGCCGGGGUGCCUGGUGGCUCAGCUGGUUAAGCGCCUGACUCUUGAUUUCAGCUCAGGUCGUGAUCUCAUGUUUGGUGAGAUGGAGCCCCGAGUCGGGCUCUGCACUGACAGCGUGGAGCCUGCUUGGGAUUCUCUCUCUCCCUCUUUCUCUGCCCCUGCCCAGAUAGAUCUCUCUCUCUCUCUCUCUCUCUCUCUCUCUCCACCCUCUCUCUCAAGAUGAACAAAUAAACAUAAAAAAAAGCCAACUGCUAACUCCUGACAAAUUUAUGGGAGGCUGAGUUUGAGUGCAAUCUCUCUAACUGUAAUAAACUGGACCAAAAUAUGUAUUUUUAAGAUGGAAGAACUAACAAGAUUUUCCAAUGGCAAUGAUCCAGUAAAAGGGGGAAAAUCAGAUAAGAAAAGACAGAAUUGCUGGAACAAAGUCCAAGAGUAAGGGAUCCACUACAUGAGUUUGGUUUUAGAUAGGCACACACAGCAUUUCAUCAUUCUGUCUACAUGUUCUCUCUCGGUAAAGCAGGAGCAGUAAAAUCAAAUUAAAUGCCUGCAUUAGACUGUGGCAUGCAGGAGAACACCCGCCUUGUCCAAAAGAGUCACUUUCUAGACACCUCAAGCUUCAGCCAAUUGUUGACAGCUCAGGAAUGUGGACCUGGCCUUGCCAAGUCUUUUGAUUUUCAAAAGAAGCCUGUUAUGCUGCUUUUAUGUGAGAUCUUCCAAUUUUUAAAUGCUUGCCAACUAAUUCGGAAAGGGGAAAAAAAGCACUCCGCAGGCCAAAGCACAUUAGCAGGUUGAAUUGAAUUGUGGUCUUUGCCCUAGGUAAUCACAUGCAGGUUCACUAUUUUAAUUAACAUCUCCUUUUCCACAUGGUAGCUGGAGUGGGUUUUUAGAACACAAAUCUAAUCAUAUCACUACCCUGCUAAAAAUCCCAUCAGUUGCAUGAGGGACAAAGUUUUGCACCCUGGAUAAAGUUUAAACUCUAUAAAGCAGGUUUUCCCCAUGAUUGUGCCUGAGCUAAUUUUCCCAGUCUCGGCUCCUGCCAUUCUGCUCUUAGACCUGACACUCCAGCCAAUGGAACUUCUUCGUCUUCCUCAAGACUGCCAUGCUCACUCCUGCUUUCUGGUCAUUGCACACAAAGCUUCCACUGCUUAGAAAGUUCUUUUCUUCCCUCCUUUACUAACUUUUCCGUUUCUACUAACUCCUCAGGUCUUGUCUUCGUUUUCUUUUUUCCUAGGCUGCCUGCCCCAUUCCCCUCCCCCACCCAUGCCACCUGGAGACCAAACUCUGUAAGGAACCCUUCCUAUGUUCUCGUCAUACCUUGUAUUUCCUCCAAUAGCAUGAGUAUCUUCUGCUACAUUUGCCUUCUCAUAAAUCCCCUAUUUAAAUCCCCUAGAUUCUAAUACCUUUGGGGGUAGGGACAUUUUUGAUCUUAUCCACUGGGUGUCUAGUUUAGUGACCAUUAUGUGGCAGGCAUUAAGUAAAAAAGUGAUAGAAUUUGGUGCUAUCCAUAUCUUGAUACCAAUUGUUUCUCCUAAGCUCUGUAGGGCCAUUCUCUAAUUAUCUCUGCAUAUCUGGAUGUCUACUGGCCCUCCAAAUUCAAUAUGCCCCCUCUCCUUAUUUUCCCUUCUCAACUGAUGAUACCAAAAUCCAUUCAUUUACAUGGGCCACAGAACUGAAGUCUUUCUGAGCCCCACAUCAGGCAUCACCAGAUUCUGUUGACUAUUUCUUGACCAUCUCUUAAGUUAAGCUAUUGUUUUCCUUCCCACUACUACUGCCUCUGAUAAGAUCCUCUUAUCUCUCAGCUUAUGUAUAUACCCAGAAACAUCUCCCUCUACCUGUCACCCACUCAUCUCUGCAUCUACUCACAACCCCGUUGGCAAAACCAGUCCUAUUUUCUUCUGCUUCAAAUGCUUCACUGAUGCCUCAUAGGCAUUUAGGUCUACUUCAAAUGUGGUAAGAGGUUCCUGACAUUCAACUCUUACCCAUUCAUGACCUACCCAGCUUACAUUCCCUAUGGCCUCCCACCACACUGCCCCAUCUUGCACAUUAUGCUCUAAAAUAUCAAGCCUCUUGUAGUAUCCUAAAUGUGAUUUCCAUACCAUGUCUUAAGUGCACUUACCCGGACUGUUAUUUCUUCCAAUAUUCUGUUUCAUCUCUCCAGAGAGACUGUUACUCAUCUUCUGAAUUAGGCUCAAAUAUCCCCUUAUCUAGGAAUCCCUUUGUAAAAUUUCCCUCUAAGAAUUACUCACUUCCUAUGAGCUGCUUGGAUGUUUAUUUAUUUCUGUUGUACUUACUUAUAAAUCUGUUUCUUCCCCUAGACUAUGAGAUCUUUAAGAACAGAGACCCGGCUUCACUCAUCCCUGUUGUCCCAGCGACAAGCACAGAACCAGACACACGGUGAUUGUUUAUAGACUGUGUUUCAUUUAAUGGCGGCCAUACUUUUUCAUGGGCAUCUCGAAUGUACCAUUGAUUCUGAGACCACUAAAUACUCCUGCUUGUAUUUAAAGUAGUUACCAAAGCGUUUAGAUUUUAAUGUACAAGGAAAUAGAAAGGAUCUUGUUGCCCUGCACUUGAAGCCAAUAAGCAUUUAUCUGCUCAUAUCUGCUGCGGAGUAACCAGGAAAAGAAUACGCAAAAUUGUGAGAAAGUGGAAGUUGUCUUUGGUAUCUUCCUUGUUUCCUUUCUACUGUUCAUUUUUCUCUUCUGAAAUGUUUUUCCUUCUAACUUUCUCCCUUUACCCCCAACAUGCUUUUCAUAUUUUCUCUUCCCAAGGCACAUCAUUUUCUGGAAUCGCACAGUAUCAGAAAUUUUGAUCAGCAAUAAUCUUUAGAGUAAAUUGAGUUUCUUCUUUGAAUUCUUGGUCUGAAAGGAAGGAAAUCACUGGUGAGAACAGAGGGACAGGAUGUUUGAAAUUGAGUCUAUUCCAGAAAAUGUAUGACAUAUGUCCCAUGUUACUGAGACAGGGAAACUGAAGGACUCCAUAAAAAUCUGCUUUUUGCUCCUUUUCUUGUUUCUGUUCUCACUAGGACCUGCACCCCAACCCCACUUUACAUAUGCCUUGUAAUACAGAUGGCAUGUGUCCUCCCUGUGAGGGACAAGGAGCUAAUGAUUCUCUAAAAUAAAUAGCAUCUAAGGAAGGACCAGUUGAGAAUGAUAGGACGAACCUAUCAUAUGCAAAUUCCAGACCACCUAAGCUAGACAUCUCUACACCAAGGCGCCCUUGGCUCCAAGAAAUAGCACCUGGGUCCUCAUCUUUGUUCUAACUGGUUCCUGGAUGCCUGAGAGGAUGCAUACACCAGGCCACCAUAAGCCCCAGACCCUAGACAAAGAUGAGAUCCCUUCCUUUUCCAAGUCUCCCAGAUUCUCUGAGUGUCUAUUUCAUAUAUCUUCAAUAAACUCUGCUUUCACCUCCUGCUGGCUUGCAUUUGAUUUCCAUCCUGCAAGAAAGCCGCGUUACCCUCUUGGCGGGUCCUGCAGGACCCCCUCUGGGUCCUUGGACCCAGCCUGCUGGCAUCAUCACCAGAAAUGACUUUGCUUCAUACUUUGUUUUAUGGAUGAGAAAGCCAAAACCCUCAGACACUGCCCAAGGCUGCACUGCUUAGUGGUUCCAGGACAGUCUUCCAUACUGCCAUUCACAAAUUCUCACAAGGUAUUAGGCAGGUAAGAGCAAAUCGUUUUUCUACCACAUUUCCACAGGGAACUCUUAACAUUGGAAUACCAUAGAGGAUAUAGAUAAAUAAAUCUCCACUGAUAAAAUUCUGAACACAAGUGAGUGAAUAUUACAUGACAUUUAAUUACAGGCGUUAUAAUGAACCACAAAUGCCACAUGGCACAAAGAAGAAAACAAAGUCAGGCCAACUUCCUAUAAUUUUUCUGUUCAGAAUCUCAGAGGGACAAAAAAAGUGAGCACACAAACCCAGUCCUGGUUUUCAUGUGACAAAAUUUGUGAUGGCACAUUAUAGGAAAUACCUAUUGUCACUAGGAUAGAUCUGGGAGGUUUUCUUCUUUCCUUUAGAUGAACAACCAAUAUGGUGGCUAUCCUUUGGAGAAGAUAGCAAUGACAUGGUUUUAAACAGCUGAUACCUCAGAUGCUACAGAUGAGGACAAAAAAGGCUGGUAAGAUUUUGGAAUUGUGGCUAAUCAACAGGCCUGGCCUUGCUAAUCGUAGUGAGUGUCAAACUGCAAAUUUUGCUGAUUGCGGGGCCUGUCUGGGAACUACACACCCCAUCUCAUAAUGAGUGGGAACAGCAUUAAUAAUCUUCUGACAAACACCUUCACCCAGCUCUUUGUUUUUCUGUUCAAUUCCUAUAGCUCUUUUCCCUGGGUUUUCUCUCUGGAGUUGGAGUUAGGAAGCUAGAUGAUAAACACUGAAUACUAAUUAUUCACUAGUCACUGUGAAACAUGUAUUAUUUCAUUUCAUUAUUAAACAAGCUACAAUAAAGCCCAUACUCUCACCUACAGAUGUGGAGACUGAGGCAAAGUAAAUUUAAAUAAUUUGUUAGAGAUCAUAACAACUAGUAAGCACAUCGCCACAUCUUUGACAAGCCUUUUUUCCCUUAAUUUGGAGAUACAGGUGUGUAGUGGGUAGGACCUUCAGUUCCCAAACUCAGGUGGGCAAGAAACAUAACUUCAGGUUUCCACACAGAACACAAUUUCCACCAUAAAUCGUCCAUCUGACCAGUUGGUAGAACCUUCGGCUCCAUCAAUUCUGGAUUCCUCCUCUUUGCCCUUUCCUUGGUAGAAAUUUAUUUUGGUCAAUUCUUUCUCUCUUGCCUGUUUCUUGGAGAGCUGUCUAAUUCCUGGAGGGCUUGUGUCGCAAUAUCAGUGCUUCAAAGGAAACACAGAGGGUGGGCCGUCGACUCUCCAAGCUGGCACCCACUAGGAUGGCUUCAUUCCGGCCCGUCUUUGGGUGCUGAUCCAGGCAGGUCCUUCCUGAGCUGGUCUUAAUAACCAGGCUCAAGCCCCAUAGCCAGGUUCCUCUGGCUCCAGCCCUCUCUCCUUUAACUCUCAGAACCUUCUUGGGAUUUGGAGUCAUCUCCCAAAUCCAGACUACCCUGGGAUUAGGGAAUUUGGUUUGACCACCUAUGGCUCUCCCGUUAUUUCCUUGUUCGUUUUGGAUGCUUGCACACCUCUACAGUGCCUGUGUCACAAUGGAGCAGUGGGCAGAUUUUGAAGCUGUCAGUGCCUCGUGCCUGGACAGUCCACACAGCCAUUUCUAUUCAGACAUCUUGCUAUUACCCUGAGCUUGGUCUGUGAAAGGGAGCAUAGGUUUCCCCUGCGCUGGAAUCUCCAAAAUUAUCUCAGGUGACUUGCAUAUCUGUAUACCCCAAACUGAUGCCAGAAAGGGGCAGGCUCCAGCCCAACCCAUACCUCCAUGGCUUAUACCACCAUUCCACCCCUUGUUAACUCUUUCAAUCCUUUCUUCUACCUCACCAGGGUGGUUUUCGUUUGGGGAGGGUAGUGUAUCCUGAUUCUUAUUCAGAGUAAAUCCAUCUUUUGUCCCAAUUCUUCUAUAUAUUUUACACGUAUGCUACUUUUCUUUUGAAAAAUCUAGAUUUUUGAAAGAAAAAAUGUAAUAUAUUCCUUUAUUUUAUCUGUUAGCAUUUCCACCUUUCCUUGAGGCAAUGACCAUAGACCUCUCUAAACAUCUGCGUGAAAAGAAGGAUCACGAAGUAACAAGAAAUCUAUAAGAUGGGAAGCACAUUGGUUAAUUUUUCAAAAAUAUAAUUUGACCACAUUCCAACAUGGAGGAAUUAGUCAUAAAGAGUUAAGGCUGGACUGUGACUGGAAACGGAAGAGAACACAGGUGGUAUAGCACAAAUUAAAUGAAAGUAGAUUCUGGAAAAUAAUCAACGGUAUAAUGUAAACCUAGAGAAGCACCUGUUUUGUGUCAGGCUCACUGCUCUGUACUUUUAAGAAAUUCCCUUUUAUCUUCUUCACAAAUCUACUGGACAGGUUUAAUGGUCUUCAUUUUACAGAUGAUGAAAAUCGAAGUUUAGAGAGAGAAAAUGACUUGUACAAACUCAUCUUGCAUAGCAUUUUCCAGAGUUAGAAAGGACUAGAAGCACAGAUACUAGUCAUGUACAAAUUCUUCCAAAAAAUAUGAAUAAAAAGUAAAUUAUCCCUUUCUUUUUAAGAUGCUAGAAUUCCAAAACUGGAUGAGGACUAUAAAAGAGAGAUAAUUAUCAGGUCACUUCAUUUAUGAUAAUAGACGUAAACAUUUUAACUAAAAUAUUAACUAACUGAAUUUAAUAAAAUAUUAAAAUACAUCAUGAUCAAUUAGGGCUUCUUCAAGGAGUGCAAAGAAAGUUUAGCAUUAGAAGAUCUUUUAUGUUAAUCACCUCCAGGAUUGGACCCAAGUGAGGUAUUUGAGGGAUCUACGGUGUACUAUUUAAGCACUCCCAGGCUGAGAACUUGCUUACAUUUUGUGCCCUACACUCUCGGUUUGCCUUCUUUAGUCCUGGCUCUGAUGACCAUACGAGGGAUUGAAGAAAAAAUUCACAUCUGCUACAUAAACAGCAUUAAACAGCAUUAAACGUCAACCAAUUUGUAUCAGAGACUCUCAGAAAAUGAUUUUGAAAAGGGAACUCCUUUCAUUCAUAAAAUCUGGGCAUCCAAAACUUAGAUAAACAUCCAAUAUGAGAGAAACUUUAGAUGCAUUUUCUUUUAAAAUCCAGAAAAAGGUGAAGGACCUUGUAUCGCCAUUAUUGUUCAACAUAAUUUUGAAGAGUCUGUCCAAUUAAAGCACUAAAUGUUUCAAACCCAGGAAGAGAAAAGAUAAAACUGUUAUUAUUUGUAGAUGACUUAAUCAUCUGCAUAGAACCAUUAAAAAUCACAAAUUAUUAGAAUUAAUAAGAGAGUUAGCAGGGUUGCCAAAGGUAAUAUAGAUAGAAAUUGAUAGUGUUCUUUUCACAGUAAUAAUCCGGGAGAAAUUAUAAACAAAAAUAAGAUAACAUUCUCAAUGUGCUACAAUAUUUAGCAAUAAACUUAACAAAGACAAUAAAAGAACCAUAGAAAGGAAAUAUUUAAGCUCUAUUAUAGGGCAUUGGUAAGAAAUUUGAAUAAAUGGAGAGCUAUACAUUGUUUAUAUUUGCAAAGACCUGUAAAGAUGUCAAUUCUAUAAUGUCAACCUAUAAAGAUGUCAGUUCUCCCAACGUUGGCUUAUACAUUCAAUAAAAUUCCAGAAAGAUAUUUUUGAAUAAAAUGGCAAACUUAUUUUAAAAUUCAUAUUGAAGAACGGAGGUCUAGCCAAUUUGAAAAAUAAGAACAAAGAAGAAGGGCUCCAGCGAUCAAAGUCUUUGAGGCAGUGUGGUGGGAAAGGAUUUUAUAAAUCAACACUACGCCCUCUUUCACGAAUCAUAAGGCAAAGAUUAAUGAACUUGACGAGUCAAAAUUACUACUACAGCAAGUUUGUGUUUAGUGCGGGUCACACCGAACAAAGCUGACAGAUGUCAUCCUGGAAGAUGAUAUUUGCAAAAAAAAAUGGCAGUUGUUAGUCCGAAUAUAUCAGGAGUAUUCUAAUCAACAGGACGAAAAGACAAAGGUUAGUAGGAGAGAUUAGAAUCAGCAAUCGCCCAAAGGGUCAAUAAGGAUACAAUAUUGGAAGUGGGCACUGCAUUUGGAGCAAAAGCCAAGGAUAAAAGGAGCUAGAAGCACAAAUUUAAUUUGUCUUGAAACUCUGACAUGGAGCUGGCAUGUCGAUGUUUAAAUGAUUAAUGUUUGCAGCUGCUUCCCGUGGCAUGUGCUGCUGUGAUAGGAUUUGUAGGCAACUCCUACCACAUGGGAGGGUCGAAUUUGGAAUUCACAGAUUGGACGGUGAUGCACUCAGCACCUCCCCCCACCAUGAGGGGCCUACUUCUCUUUUAUUUACAAUCGUGUUUCCCAUUUGGAUAAGGGAUUUCAUUGAGGGUGGGGACUACCGUUUACCGUUACAAUUGCCCUAUGGACACAGCAUAGCAUUUGGCACAUUGUUUGGGUGUAUGAUCAACAUUUGAAACACCACAAAACUCAGUAUUGGCUAAGGAUGACGGUCGAAAUGAGCCCUCUAGAAUGGCCUUUGAUUCUGCAAGUGUUGCACACCUCUUUUAAUAAAAGAAAUAUUUUUACAAUUUGCCCUUAAAGAGGAACAUUCCCUAUCUCAUUGCUUUUUUAAAUUGACAUAUGUCAGAUUAAAAGCUAUAUGAAAUAGGCAUGUAACGCGUUCUCAGAAAUAAUCUGUGUUACCUGCCUUAUAUUUAUUCAGUUUCCCAAGCUGUAGAAAAGUGUGUUAAUUUCUACUUUAAACAGAAAUCUAAGCAAGAUACACAUGCAUUUAAAAGAGUUUUACAGGGCACCUGGGUGGCUCAGUCAAUUGAACAUCCGACUUCAGUCCAGGUCAUGAUGUCAUGGUUCCGGAGUUUGAGCCCUGCAUCAGGCUCAGUGUUGUCAGCUCAGAGCCUGCUUCUGAUCCUCUGUCUCCCUCUCUCCCUGCCUUUCCCCAUUCACUUCCUCUCUCUCAAAAAUAAAUAAAACAUUUUUAAAAAACCCAGUUUUAUAGUCUUUUUAUUUCGUCAGUUUAUUUAUAGAUUUAUUUAUAUAUAUGUACAUAUAUAAUAUGUAUUAUAAAUUAUAAUAUUGUAUAAUAAUAUCUUACGAAACAUUAAACUAUAUACUUUUUUUUUUCCUUUCAGCAUUUCAGCUCCCAAUAUAGUUACUAGCUUUGAAAUGGUGAAUAUUUUGACGAUUUCUCUCAGGGGAAAAUACUAAGCAAGUAUCAGCUGCUUUGAGAGUCUGUUUUUAUUUUUUAGUGCCUGACAUGCUCUAUCCAUGAAACUAUAGAACGUCUACAGUAAAAGGUGAUGCUAUGCUCAUAAUGAAAUAUCUUUAUGUUUGAGUCUAAGCCAAUUCAUGUAGUAAACAAUGUGAAGGGAACAUAAUUAACAUUCUUGGUUUACUGUCAAGGCCUGAGUCAUGGGAAAGAAGGUGGUGUAUAUGGCAGUGUCUUUAGGAAAGCACGUUUGAAAAGUCAAAAAGACUAACAAGUAAAGCUAAAGGAAGGAAAAAGCAGUAUUUCAUUGGUUAGCAGGUUUUGAGAAUAAAUUUGUAUUCGGCACAGUCCCGCGUGGCUUGCUGAAUACUAAACAUAUGGAGAAUGAUAUUAACACAGAUCCCACUUUCCCCUAUAUGUUAACCAAAUAACCUAAAAAAUGGAAAGUUAUAACUGAAAUACUAAAGCCAUAACAAUGUGUGAAGCAAACAAGCAUCCCAUUUUUAAAAGAAACUUGUGAUUUUUAGGAAGGAUGAAAGCUGUCCUAACACUGCAAUCUGAAGGGGCUGGAACCCGCACCAGGUGUGGCUUACUCCUUUCCAUGUUAAACAAAAACUGAAAAAAAUUGUUUAAAAUAAAUAGAUCAUCUUUUCUCCUCACAUUUAUUUUAUCUACCCUGUUUCACUAUGUUUGCAAAUGGGUUCACUUUUAUUCAAAGACAAGAUGCAUUUCAUGUCGGUUUCAGACAUUAUGAACAAAGCAAGAAGCAUUUCUUAGCAAUUCUAUAUUUUCUGUUCACCAAAUAAAUGUUUUCCUAUUCUUUUAUUUGUCAAAGAGGAAGUGUUUUCAGGAAAACUGGGUGUAAACUUGGAUGGUCCAAUUGACAUCGAUCUAAGACUUUGGUCUGGAAGGCUGCACUGAGAAUUUGGAAAGAUUCGUACAAUUCAAACCCAAACAAGGGGAUUCUGACUCCUCACAAAUCUGUUCCACUAGAGGACAUUUGUCAUUUGUUAUUCAGAUACAAUUUUAAACCAUGUCUUUGUGUUCACUGAGUUGUCUAAGAUAAGGUGAAUGGUUUAUUUGUUGUGUCUUUAUAAUGAAUAUUGUUGCCACAAUAAUCAUGAGGAAUCCAUUACUGGGUAAUACUUUUCUAUUAGUAGUAAGGCACUUCAAAUUAAUUUUUUAAAAAUAAAUUUCUUAGCAAAUAAUGCAAAUAUUUGUUCCACCUUUUCAUUCCCUAUAAGUAAAAAAGCAAUUUGAUUGGUAAGUCAAGUAUCAGUGCUAGGAUAUGAGACUUUUCUCUUUGGGGAAAAGAAUAGUAACUAGGAUAAUUAGACUUGAGUUUUACCCUGGCCUGGCCCCUUAUUAGCUGUGUGAACUGGACCAUCACACUUCCCUUCUAUGUGCCUCAGUUUCCUUUUCUGUACAAUGCCCACCUCUUAGGGCAUUUGUGAGGAGUGAAUAAAAUCACACUUGUAGAAGGCUCCAGUUGUUAAUGUGCAAGCUGAAUCCUGCCCAUCAAUAUGGUUUGCCUCUCUUAUAGAAAGCUUAAAAUUUUUUAAAUUUGUUGAUAAUAGUUAAAAAUUAGAUCAUUCAGAUUUUUGCCAGUUUGCUUUUAAAUCUAAACACUGCAAAACUUACAACUGGCUGGAACUGAGUGUUGGCUUAGACACAUUCAUACCACCAUGUUUUGUGUUCACCCAUAGUGCCUAAUAGAUGUUUCCCCAUUAUUAUUAUAUAUAUUAUAUAUCGUACAAUAUUAUAAUAAUAUAAUUAUAUAAUAUAUACAUAUAUAUAUACACAUGCAUACACACACAUAUAUUUAUUGGCUACCCUAGUGACAUCCUAUUAAAGAAAAAUUUUUCAGACAAGGAGAUCUCGAGCACAACAGGAAAGUAGUGACUAUUCCAAAACAGGAGAGGAAAGAGAUGCGUACCCAGAUGACAGAAUGUUCAUACAAGUCACUGGACAGAGAAACACAGAUACUGGUUUAUUUCAUAGAGCUGUAAAACCAUCUCUUUUACAAUUGGUGUGGAUUACAUUUUUAGGACAUGUGUGAUUUGAACCAUCCACAGACAUGAAUUAGCUGUUCAUCAGAAAAAAAUAAGUCAUCUGUGUCAGACAUAAUAAGUAAAUUGAUCUGUGGCUAGUAAUUAGUAAUAGCAAGCAACAAGGAUUUAUUCCUUAUACAGUGAGUGAGUGUGUAUGCUGCAAAGAGUGUUAAGAACAGUUCAGCUAACAAAAACAUGGGGUCCUGAUUCCUCUCAACCAGCUAUGAAAACUUUCUCCACAUUGUGAAUUAAAUAUGUAAGCACAGUUUGAUUACUUCUCAAUUCAGACAUAAAUGCAUUUUUCAACGUCUUCUAUCACCCCAGAGAUCUAUAUUUCUUUUUUCCAUAUUUUCAUUAAAGUAUAAAAUUAUACAGAAAAGUGCACAGGUAAGUGUCCAAUUCAUUGAAUUUUCACAAAUUGAACACACCUAUGAUCAAAAGCCAGGGUAGUUGUCCUGAAUGUCUGCUACCUCUGUGUUCCCUCUGGACACUACCUGCCCACCCAUUGCAAGGGUAACAGCUCUCAUGACUUUAAAUACUUUUGCUUGCUUUUGAGCCUCAUUUAAAUAGAAUCGUAAGAUCUUUUCAAUCUCUACUUUCUCGCACAUAUCAUCAUAUUUAUAAGAUUCAACCAUAUUUUCAAGUAUAGCUGUAAACCCUCUAUUCACGUCGCUGACUAGGAUUUCAUUGUGUAAAAUGCCCCAAUUUAUUUAUGCAUCUACUGUUCAUGGCCAUUUGGGUAGUUUCCAGUAUAAGAGCUGUUAUCAGUAGUGUGUCUAGGAAUAUUAUUGUACAUCGUUUUUGGCGCACACAUGAAUGCGUAUCCGCUGAGCUUUCCCAAUUAUUCCUACCAUCCACUCUAAGAGAUUCGCCAUAUGCAGAGUUCAGCAGAACGCCUGGAUGCCAUCACAAGGGCUGUCCUCAUUAUCCUCUCUGAGGUAGAGGCUCCUCUGGGUUUCAAGUGUUCUUUAAUUGCUGCUCUUCUGACCCCCUGCCUUCCUGGAGCAUCUUCAUUGUCCUCCUCUCUGUCAUCUGACUACUCUCUCAUCUGACUGUUUGCUGGUUCUGUUGUUCCGAUGACAUUUCUUGGGUCCGAUCCCUCCUGUGUUUCCCUUCCCUUCUUGUCUUUCCUGUCCUUGUUUGCCAUCUUUGUCUGAAGCACUCCUGUGCAGCCAAUGAUCUUAACACAGUUCUUUAGACUUUGCCAUGUUAAAAAAACACUUGCCCAUUCAAAUAAGUAGGAAGAUUGUAGAGCAGAGAAACGAAGAGCACAGGCCCUGAAGCCAGACUUUCUGGGGGGAAAAUUCUGGUCACCAUUUACCAGCUGUGGAAUAGUGGGGAAGUUUUCUCAGGGCCUCACUUUUCAUAUUGUUACAGUUUGAGAACUUCUAUCCAAUGAUGCUUAUAAUAAACUUAUCUCUCUCUCUCUCUUUUUUUUUUCUAAACUACUUUUAUUCUUCUUGGCCCUAUCUUGUGCUUCUGAUGGUUUCAUGUUAAUAACUCUUUGUGUAUUUUGCUUACCCAGUCCUGUGUUCACCUCAUUUCUCUUUACAUACAUAUCUCAAUUAGCAUUAUCUUGCAUAGUGAUUAAUCUUUAUAAAGCUUGUUAACCAGAACAGCAUCUGUCUUAUGAACCAGAUCGCACGAGUCUCAGUUUAAGGCACAAUGGCUGCAUUCCUUUCCUGUUGUUGCUCUGACCAAUUGCCUCACAUGCAAUGGCUUAAAACUACAUAAGUGUAUUAUCUUACAGUUCUGGAGUAAGAAGUACAAAAUAGUCUUGUGGACCUAAAAUCAAGGGGUCAGCAUUCGAUCUGGAAACUCUUGGAAAGAAUCUGUUUCCUUGUCUUUUUCAGAUUCUAGAGGCAUCCUGAAUUUCUUGGCUUGUGGCCCCAUCCUCCACCUUCAAAGCUCAUCACCCCAACCUCUACUUCUGUCCUCUCUUUGAUCUUAAUCUUCUUGACUCCCUCUUAGACAGACCCCCAUGAUUAGAUAGGCCCAUAUGGAUAAUCCAGGGUAAUUUCCCACCUUAAAAUCCUUAAUUUAGUCACAUCCACAAGGUCCUUUUUGCCACACAGGCUAACAUAGAUUUGGGGCUCUAGGAUGUGGACAUCUUUGGGAGGCCAUUAUUCAGUCUACCACAAUGGUCAAACCAUUUGUUUCAACUACCUAAGGUAGUUUUUGUUACUUUCUUUCCCUCAGGGAAGCCUUACAUUCACAGAAAAUGAUUUGCUUUCCAAAGGAAUGAAAAACAAAAAACAGUAUUAUCCCAGUGACUAAUGUGCUUGCUAGAUAUUAAAAUUUAACUUUGUUAUACUCUGGCAGGUAAAUAUCAGGAGAAUGUGGGUUAUGCUCUGUGUCUGGCUGUGCCUACACUUGAAUAAUACCACCUAAUCUCCAGAUAAUAAAGACAUCAAUCAAUGAGCAUGUAAUUACAUAUAUAAUAAAUUCAGCACGCGGAAAUUCCUCUACAUAAGGAUUACAUCAUAAAAAGGCUCUAAUAGCCUUUAUUCAUUUAGCUCAAACAAAUCCUCAGGGCUAAAUGAGAUGGGCCUGCGUCUUUUUGCUUUAACCUAUUUACUAUAUAUAGUCCUACCUCUUAGGAACAUUUUUUAGGAAAUGUGACUGCCCUAGGAGACCCAGAAUGGGAUAAUCUCCACACAUUUCCCAUUUGUGACAUAUAUUCAUCUUUAUAUUUUAGAGCAUCUUUUGGCUGAGGUAUCAAAAAAGAGAAAUAUAAUUAACUCCUUCCUAAAUUUAUCUCUGCUUCAGCUAAGACUAAGCUUCUGCUUUAUUCCUACCAUUCAGUAAAGCUCCAGAAGAUUCCUUAGAGCAUUGAUCUGACCCAGCACUAGGUGUAUAUCUGGUGGCCUUCAGAGAAUUUAGUAUCAUACAUAAAGGGUCUAACAAGUCAUUAAAAUAUAGACUGUGGACACAGAAUUGCCUCUUGCUCAUUUAUCCUCUUUGGGGCCUAUUUGUUGCCCAAACAGAAAACUGUUUCUGAAUUUGUGGAGACACAUUUUUUUUUUUUUUUUUUUAAUUUCAGGUUCUUACAUAUGGAAGCCAAUUGCAUGGAGUAUGAUGUGACAUUCUGGAUAAUAACCUGGUUCUGAGCAUGGGGUUUGGACAUGCAUUUAGAAUAUAAUAGAAUAGCAGGAAAGGGAUGUAUUGGGAAAGGCGUGGGCCUUGUUCAUGACAGGGACUGCCAUUCUGACCCAUGAUUUACAUGUGAAGCAAGUCCAAGGAGGUCAUAGCAACAAUUUUUUGAAGUCAAAAAUGACUUUUUAGGGGCAUCUGGGUGGCCCAGUUAAGCAUCUGACUUCGGCUCAGGUCAUGAUCUCGCCGUUUGUGGGUUUGAGUCCCGCAUCAGACUCUGCGCUGACAGCUCAGAGCCUGGAGCCUCCUUUGGAUUCUGUGACUCCCUCUCUCUCUGCCCCUCCCCCGCUCGCAUUCUGUCUCUCUCUCAGAGAUAAAUAAACAUUAAAAAAAAUUUUUUUGAAGGCAUUUAAAACUAACACAUGAAGGGAAGCAGCAAAAUACCUCCUUGCACCAACCCUUUUCUCUCAUCCACGUGCAAAGAGCUAAAUAGAGACUUUAACAAUUACUAAGAUAAUUCAGUUGCAAAACUUGAUGAUCAAACAUGUUUUAAAGAAUCGAACUUACAGAUACAGAGAAUAUAUUUGGUGGCUGCCAGAGGUAGGGUAUGGGGUGAGUGAAGGGGGUCAAAAGGUAUAAACUUCCAGCUGUAACACAAAUGAUGGGAUGAAACGUACAGCAUGGUGACUUUAGUUAGCAAAACUGCUGCGUAUGUUUGAAAGUUACUAAGAGCAGAUAACUAAAAGUUAUCAACACAAGAAAAAUAGUUUGUAACUGUAUGUGGUCAUGGAUAUUAAUCAGACUUCCUGUGCUGAUUAUUUCACAGCAUAUGUAAAUAUUGAUCUAUGUUGGACACCUGAAAUUAAUAUAAGUCAAUUAUAUCUCAAUUAAAAAUAAUAGCAAAGGAGGUUUUGAUUUUUUUUCUGACCUUUUCUAUUCAAAAAAAUUGUCCUCAGGUUUGAGGUCUGGGCAGUACUGUAAGAAGAAUGAUAUGGGAUACUUGCUAAAAAUGCAGAUUCCUGGCUCAUGACAUACGUAUACAUCGGGAGGCAGGUUUGGGUAAUCCUCAGUUGUUCUGAUAUAAAUUGACAUUUGACACUUCCUGAUUUAGGGGAAGGUGUAGGAUUGUAAAGGUAGAGAAGUGAGUUUGAAUUUUUUAAAAUUAAAUGACAAUUUCCUCAUUUGUAGUUUCAAUGAAAUAUUUGUGACACUCCUACAGCAAACACAAUCGUUAAGUAAUGGUAUUGUUUCCACGUUAGACAAAAUCUUCAAUGGCCACGAUUUGUGUCAGCACCAAAAAUUGCUUUCCCACUUUGAAAUGGCCUCACUAAUUAUGAACAUAUCAAGUCAAUCUGCUUGUGUCUACUGAAUGUGCACCCUAUAGGAGGUAUGUGAUAACCACUGUGGGAAUUAUAAAAAAAGAUAAUUUUAAAUGCCCUUUGUUGUAAUUCAUUAUUGCUAAUACAGUACUACCAACAAUGCUAAUAAUGAUAUUAAUAAUGAUAUCUAUUUGCCUAUGGGCUAAUCAUUUGCUAUCUUUGUCUUAUUUAGUUCUUACAAACCCAAAGGUAGGUACAACAACAUCAACACUUAAUGAAUAAAUUAAAUCUAAAGGAUUGUAACUAAACUUGUAAAUGUCGCAUAAGUGGUAAUUCAUGGAGCUGGUAUUUAUUUAUUUAUUUUUAUUUUUUAUAUUUUAAUUUGUGUUUUCAUGGAGCUGAUAUUUAAAUCCAAGUAUGUCUAACUCUAGAUUCCACAAUCUUAACCAGGGUAUUAUAUUAUUUCCAGAUAAAUUUCCACUUUAGGGAUUGCCUGAGACAUACUAAGGCUCUCUCCUUGACUGAGGCAGUCUUAGGAACAGAGUCCUGGGGGUCAAACAAUGAGUACUCUAAGCAGCCUGAGGCCACGAACUUUGGAACCAAGAACCACAUAUUUGAUAGUCAUAAGGCCAAAUCUAUAGCUACGAUUACAUUGUAAUCAAUCAAGUUGAAAUCUUGGGGAAAGGGUGAAAAAAUAGCAAAAAAUGAGAACAGAUGUCAGAAGGAUAAAAAUAAAUAUCAGAGAGGGAGUAAAAGGUGAGGACUGGGUUGGAGCUCAGGACUCAGGUCAAAGACUGUGGUCUGGGAGCAACCAUGGAAGAGAAUGUAGAGGACUCUCACUGGGCUAGACUGUGUGCCCUUCCCCGCGCCCCCCAACUGGGAAAUCUUGAACUUCAGAGUUAUUACAGGAGGAUGUUUCCAUCCGGGUGGUUACUGAUUCUCACUCUGCUUGCCUGGGUGGGGGAUGGGAAAAGAGAGAGAUUUUGAAAACCCUGAUGAUUAUCUUUAGAGUUAAACUGUAUCUUUCCUUCUCAUUGAAAACCUUCCUUCUUUUAUGAUGAUCCACAAAGCAUUGAUGUCUGCAGUUUGGAGGGCUGUCUCUGUAUAACUGGUAUUAGGAACAAGCCAGUUUGGAGCAUUUUUAUUAAGUACAGCAUGAAGGUGGAGAAUCUAUUUUUCUGUACAGAAGUGAUUGAACUGUGCGGGAAAACAGAGCCCAGUUCAAUCAGGCAGUGUUUGAAAAGUGAAGGCAAUUAGCAAACUGGCCAUUGUUCACAUUAUUAACAAAUGUGUUUGUUAUUCAGGACACUAUCCAGAGAUGAAAGUUAAAAUAGCUUUGUGGCUUUUUCAGGGAAAAUGCUAAGCUGUUAGAAGUGAGAGCUAACUGUUCUGGGCAUGGAGUCUGCUUCAAGAGCUUGGUUCAAGGCACACCUUAGAUCAUUGGCGAGCGUCAGGUUGAUCUGAAAAGAAAAAAAAAUUACCUGAAAUGAAGAGGGAUAAAAUUAGUUUUUCCUGGGUUGUAUAAAUAGGUCAAAACAGGCAAAAAGGAUGUAAUAUUGUGAAGGCACAUAUCCACGUGAAGAAAAAUAAAGAUGUGUGGAGCAAAUACCCAAUAACCCAUUCUAAAUUACUUGCCACUUUUGUAUAAAGAGUUAGGAAUUUGUCUCCACUAUCUUAAAUUUGUAUGCAAACAGGUAGAAAAUCCAAUAAUGGAUCAACAACAACCACAACGACGACAACAACAACAUUGAACUUAAAAAGGGGAAUUCAUCUAUUUUGUUCUCUCUCCACCACCCCCUCCCCACUUCUCCCCAACUGUUGUGCAUCUCACUGACUCUUGAUUUAGAUUUCUUUGACUCCAGGAAGGCUUCUGGACACUUUAAGCAUAGAUAGGUUCUUUCCUUAUUUAUAAUUCAUAGAAAUAUGAAUGUAUGUUUGAGUAUACAUAUUACAGAAUAUGCAUUAUUAUAUACUAUUAUUUUAUGUAAGUAUCAGUUGGGCUUAUCUCCCACUAGACUAUGUGGGGCCAGGUGACCUCUGGGGUUCUGUCAGUGAGUUUGGGUCUGUUUGUUGACUCUUACACUUUUUAAUACCCUGUACAGAACCCAGAACUUAAGAGAUGUUCCAGAAAUAUCUGACGAAUACCAGAAUGAAAGCAGAUUAUCUCCCUCUUUUAUCAACAGAAGAAAAUACGAUUAAGAAGUCAGGUGCUUUGUCUGAAGACAGCAGGAAAGACAGAAAAAAUAAAGGAAUGUACAUAGACAUUCUUAGGAAAGAGUAAAAGAGAAACGACUCAAAAGAAAAGGUGUUGGUGCAAUUAACUCUCUUCAACUUCUAUUUCCCAUUCUAUGAAACUGGCCAGGGUACUCACUGGCAUUCGCUGCCUCCAGUCCUGCCACCCCACAUAUUACCCUGGUUCUCGGGAACAGUCUCCAGGGAGGCUCUGUCCUCACUGAGCCAGCCAUUCUUCGACAAGAAAGGGCUGUGAGAGAAACUUUCCAGGGCUCCUCAGGCUGCUGACAUCUGAGACACAGGUUGCCAUCCAGCAAUGCUAUUCCCCUCCUGGAGCUCUGGGGUUUAAAAAUGUGUUCUACAUUUCAGGCAGGUUGGCUUGAAGUUACGUUUAAAUAUAUCCACGCUGAUAUCUAAAAAUAGCAUUCAUCUAAAGCUGGACAAUAUUGGAAUGAGUGAAAAGAAGUAGAAACAUGAAAGUCAAGAGCAAAUAAUGUCUUGAGGACAUCAAAUUAUAGAACUGGUAUCUGGGCCUCGGCUUUCCUGUUUGGCCGUGUGACUUUAUCUAGGAAUUGACAUUCACAUUUAGUUUUACAGGGUUUUGAAACCAUUACAGCUUUCUUCUCUCUUUUUUGAAUCUACCGCCAAUGAAUUAAGUGACUAGAAAACUUGGUUUCUCUGUUAGAGAAAAAAUGUAAAUCGUUGGCUUUGUGGCAGUUUUUAAAACUGUCCACAGAGUAUUUUGACUCUUGUCUCAUUGAGAAUCAGGAUCUGUGUUCCCUCUCCUUCACUCUGGCAGGCUGUGGCUGCCCCCGCCAAUGAAGCAGGGUUUCUCAACCUUGACACCAUUGGCAUUUGGGGUGACAGCUUCUUUACUCUUGGGGGCUAUCGUAACAGACAGGAUCGUGCACUGUAGAAUGUUUGGCGGCAGCUGGGGCUUGAGGCACCAGAUGCCUCUGGUCUCGUCCCCUACCACUCCCAACUUGUACAAACCAAAACGUCCUGUGGGGGGCAAAAUUGCCCCUGACUGAGAGCCACUGCAAUAGGGUAUAGUGGAAAUGAGGUUACAGGAUGUCUAAAGAUAGAUCGUAAAAGGCCACUCAGCAUUCUGGUUCUCUUGGGACACUUGUUCUGGGAGAAACCAAUUGCUAUGGAAACCUAACUGCCCUGAAACUGCCAUGCUGGAGAGGCAAUAUUCUGGGGGACCAUUCCAGCUGAGCCCAGGUGAUAGUCUCCCCUGUGUCCUAGCCAAACUGUUAACCCACAAAACCUGCGAAAUGACGAAAUUGUUGUUUUACCCCACUCUGGGAAGGGCAGUGCAUUAAUACAGCAACGGCAAUUGAAAGAGAGUUAUGGGGAAAAGGAGAAGAAUACACAGUCAAGUGCAGAGCCAGGUUUGACUUGCAUCACAUGUGUAGCUUAUCAAAUGAGGAACAGAUACACAAGUACCCACAGACACGGAUUCUGCGCCCUCGGUUAUGUGGGUGUGUACUUGUGGUAUGCUGAGAAAAUAAGAACUGGCAUCCGAAACUUGUUCUAUUCCCUUUUUUCCCCUCUCUCAAGAGAAAAUAUUUUAAAGAUGUAAGAGUUAAAGAAAACAUCUGGUUUAUGGGAAAAUCGUAAGAACAUGUUCUCCCCUCCCCCACUUCCUACUACUCCCUCAGUGGAGCAUUAGCAGAGUCUCAGACCUUAGCAACAGAAUCAAUAACAACAGGCUAACAUAAUUACACUGUAGAGGGCAGAUUGUGUCGGCUAUUACUUUAUUAAGAAAGAACAACAUGUGUGAAAGAACAGCAUCCUGCAAGGACGGAAGACUCGAGAGAAUGCAGGAAAGAGGGCAAGGCGGUUCACAAAUAUGCUGAAUUGAAAGAAUCAGGAUCACACCCUGAAAUAGCAGGAAAAUGAAUGUUUGCUUUCUCUGGCUUAUUAUUUGCUUAGUGAUACUUCAGCGUUUCUAAAAGACAAAUGCCUUGGCUGUGGUUCUAUCAGUCUCUCUGCUUUAUUUAAUUUUACAAAGAGGAAUGCUCAGAUGUUAAAAUAUUUGUUCUCUUUUCACUUAGGAUUUGCUUCAUUUUCUACUCAAAAUGGAAUGACCCUCCGAGGUAAGAUUUCAAGCACAGGGAUUACUUCGUGUUCAUCUGGCGCUGUGAUAAGUUCCUGGCAUAUUUUCACUAUUUUACAAAACACCCCUGGGAGGUGUUUUGAAACGAAAUGAUUUGUCCCCUUUCUCCUUGCUCGAGAAGGUCAAGAUAAAAUAUUUAGAACCUCAAACCUUCCAUACUAGCCCAUUUUCCCUUCCGUUUUUUUCAGCGCUGAAGGUGAAGAAGCAAUUCAUAUUGGGAGUGGACUGGUCAUUUGCCCGUUUGCCCUCAAACCCUUUUCCUUGCUUUCCCCUGCUUUCCCUGCUGCUGUAGGGGCUGCACCCACCAUGCCGCCUCUCCUGGACUCCUCUGCCCCCUGCUUCCACUACACUCAGCCACCAGGAGACACGGGAAGGACUGAGGAGGGGGGAGGAGACACAGCCACCCCUGCAUGGUCCCAAUCUCUCCAGACAACUCUAGUCUUGGAAGAGGUUUUAAUCUAGCUCUGCUACAACAUCUCCUCUGACUGUCCUUCCAGGCCUGGGGCAGGGAGUAGCUAAUAGGUCCAGUAUUAAAUUUCAUCUGCAGGACAACAUGGCAUAGGUUCUGUGUUUUUCUCCCCGGGCUCACUAAUACCGAGAGAAUCUCAUUCCAGAUGAAGUCCGGCUUGAGACGUAGAUAUUAUAUGUUGUGUUUUGAGAGAAUGUAAAAAACAAGAAAAGCUUUGGGGGUUUUUAAAACUGUUUAUUUAUUUACUUUGAGAGAGAGAAGGAGAGAGAGCUUGACCAGGGGAGGAGCAGAGAGAGGGAGAGGGAGCGAGAGAAUCCCAAGCAGUCUCCUCACUCAGUGGCCCAGUGUGGAGCCUGACUUGGGUCUCCAUCCCGUGAACUGUGAGAUCACGACCUGAGCCUAAAUCAAAAGUCUCUUGCUUAACCAAUUGAGCCACCCAGGGGCCCCAAGAAAACCUUUGUAUUAUCUCUUUGAGUUUAUUCAUUGAGUUUACAGUUUAGGUCAGAAUGCUUUUUAGAGUAACAUAAAUUAAAAUUCUAGAGAAAGCCAAACGAAUGCACAGUGACAGAGAAUAGAUCGGUGGUUGUCGUGACCCAGGGAUAGGACAGAUGAACUGCAACGUGCAGGCUGGGAACUUCUUCGCACGAUAGAGAUAUUCCAAAUCAUGAUUUUUGUGAUGGCUCCAUAGGUGUGUAUAUUAGUCAAAAUUCAUCAAGCUGUACACAUAAAAUGGGGCAUUUUAUUGUAUGCAAAUUAUACUGGGGCGAGUAGCAACCAAUAUUCCCCAAAUCUUGUCUGCAUCAUUUAUUUCUAUGGUCCUUUCUCCAUUUAUUAUUAAUUUGGACACUCCUGUGAGGAAGAGCUGUGUCUUCUCCCAUAUUUAUUUAUUUGUUUCAUUAUCUGUCUACCAUUACGGACUCGUGGAUGUUUAUUCACGGAUUAAAAUCCAGAUUUGUUCCUAAAAUUUUGUUGUCAAUAUUUUCCCAGUUGGGGCCAUUAAGGCCUCCUUCAAGUGGGCUCCUGUGUGCUAUUAUCAAGACUCCACCGACUUUCUGAGCAUAUUGGCACCACACGAUGUCACUGGGUCACUUGAUACUUACGAGGCUCCACCCCUAGGAUUAAUCACUCUUGAAGGAGCUCUGGUUCUUUUUAUUUGAAUGUAGUGUUUAGAGCCAGUAUCUGGGUGUUAGGUAUUCUCAUUGUUAUUAGGGAGUCAUUGCUCUGACCUUCAGGCAGACAGAGCUAGAUUUUUUAUGUAUGUAUACCUAAUCCAUAUGUACAUAUUAUAUAUUAUGAAUCUAUAUGAACAUACAUUAAAAAUCUAUAUGGACAUACAUUAAUACUGCUAUCUCUGAUUCUAAGUUUAUACCAUGAAGUUUAUUUUUUUUAAUCUUUUUUUUUUAAAUUUAUUUAUUUUUGAGAGAUAGAGCACAAACAGGGGAGGAACAGAGAGAAAGGGAGACACAGAAUCCAAAGCAAGUUCCAGGCUCUGAGCUGUCAGCACAGAGCCCAAUGCAGGGCUCGAACUCACAAACCGUGAGAUCAUGACCUGAGCCAAAGUCGGAUGCUGAACUGACUUGAGCCACCCAUGCACCCCCCGUAGGGUUUAUGUUAGCUUCCCUUUUUCCUUAUUUAUAAAUUCUUUUUCUGACAUUAAGAAACCCUGGCUUUCGGGGCGCCUGGGUGGCGCAGUCGGUUAAGCGUCCGACUUCAGCCAGGUCACGAUCUCCCGGUCCGUGAGUUCGAGCCCCGCGUCGGGCUCUGGGCUGAUGGCUCAGAGCCUGGAGCCUGUUUCCGAUUCUGUGUCUCCCUCUCUCUCUGCCCCUCCCCCGUUCAUGCUCUGUCUCUCUCUGUCCCAAAAAUAAAUAAAUGUUGAAAAAAAAAUAUUAAAAAAAAAAAAAAGAAACCCUGGCUUUCAUUAUCUAUGAUCUAUUCACUUUUUUUCCCCACUAUAAUCAUGAAGUAAUUUCAGAAUUGCUAGACAUUACUGCUGUUUAAAAACAAAAGCAAAAACUUAGUUCCUGACUAGGUUAUAAUUUUUAUGUACAGUUAUUUUUGUCUUUAGCCUUACAGUAUCAUCAAGGCAUAGGUUUCCAUAGCUACUUUGGAUGGUUCUUUUCUUCCCAUGCCCUUAGGUGUGGGUAUGUUAUUUGUUUGUGAUAUAGUCAGGUUCAUUUGCUAGUGUUUGCACUCCACUCUGAGUUACCCACAUGUCCUGAUUGCUUUUAAUUAUGUGUUUAAUUUGGGGGUAUGUAAAGGAUAUAUGAAACAUUACUAUGGUUUUAAGAGUCUAAGUUCUCCCAAAAGUUAUGUUCAAGGAAGCGUAACUCCUUCUUCAACCCUGAUACCCUAUUCCGUCAUCUCUUUAUUCCCAAACUUUUCACACAAACUCCUCUCGCUAACCAUUUUCUUAGUCUCCAGUUUAUCUUCCCAAAAUUCCUUCAGAAAUGUAGCAAACAGAAAAUCACUGCUAGACAAAUGAGGAGAUAUGGGUGUAUUAUCUUACAUGCCUUUCUUACAUAAAGUGUUAACAUACUGCAGACAAUUUUUGAAGGUUUAGCAUUUUUUUCUCUUGAAGCUAUGUCUUGGAAAUCCCUCGCUAUUAGUUCAAAGAGAUUUCCCUCGUCUUUACAUUUUUUCAUACCCGCAUAAUGUUCCAUCAGGUUAUGCCUGGAAUUUUUUAUUGACCUUGAGCUGCUAUAAAACUUAUGUUAUUAGAGCUGGAUACUUUUGUAUUCCUAUAUAUAUAUAUAUCUGUAAGCUUUGUACUGAGAUUGCAAUGAAGUUCCUUGGAAACAGUCUGAUCUUUUAGAGUCUGGCUCUCAAGUUUUGUUGGGCAGGAAGAUGAAAGGCACUAGUGGGGCAAGACCCAUUGGCCAUCUACCCAAAGCCCCAGGAAUCAGGAACGUUUCCACUCUGGCGGGUGGGAAAUGGCACAGUUUCUAGACCUGUGUGAGUGCUGGGAACUACUACCUCUAAUUCUUUGUGUGAUUCUUUCCUGGCUUCUGGUAGUUUCCUUGCAUGCACUGAGCAGUAUUCUAUUAUAUACCCUGCAUAAAUCCUAUGUUCUCUCUUUAUGCAGUUGUCUCCACUCCAGUAGGCUGUCCAGUAAAUUCUGUCUGCCAUGGUUCUUCUGGACGUCUAACUCCGUCUCCUUAACUCAGGGAGUCCUUUCCCUGGGCUCCCUGCAACCCGCCCCGUCUCUUCAGUACAGCCUGGAAACGCUCUUCUGACGACAGUAAGAUGAAGCCAUUAUGACUCAUCUCAUUUUCUUCUGUCUCUCGGGGAUCACCGCCCUUCUUUAUCUGAUUUGAAAUAUCUUGAACACUUUGGUUUUAUGUACUUUGUCUUUUUUAAAAAAAUUGUUUCGGGAGGAAGGGUAAAUCUGGUCUGUCUCAUUCUGCUAAAAGUGGAUGUCUUUGCUGUUGUAAAUAAAAUUUAUUUCUCGAUUUCAAUCUCCACUUGUUCACUGCUAAUGUAUAAAAGCAC
rnacentral:lncRNA from 1 species